AUCAAUCCCACCUCACCACCAAUCUUUCCUUUUCUUUUUCUCCAUGGCUAGCAAGAACUGACAGUCUGUCAAGGUCCUUGGUAUUCUCAUGAGUAUUGUUAACCAUGACACUUCAUUUAAUAUAGGUCAGAAGAGCUUUCGCACAGCUAAUGUUUCUGGUAGACAUUAUUUGUGACUAGGACUUCAGAGAUAACUGGAACCAGAGGACCCUAAUGAAAAUAACAUUUCCAUUAGCUUGCUUAUGGUUAGUAUACAGAACAAGUUGAACUUUUGGGUUCAUUGAAACAAAAAGGUAAUUUCAGUAAGUCAGGUUUGAGUAGUGCAAGGACAAAUGUAUCUCAACCCUAGACAAAGCAAGCAUAUCUUCAAGUGGGGCCUCCACCAAUAGGGAAAAUGAACCUAGUUUCUGACCAUGGAUCAGAUGGCAGUAGCAGCCGAUUCCGUAGGAGUCAAUUCAAAAUUAUUGGGGGUUGAUACCAGUAACACCAACGAAUCAGAAAUUAAGGCUCUUUUUGUUUGCCCAUUUGAAUUAUGAUGUUCACUGAGGUUAUUCAGUAGGAUUACUUGUCAAGCCAAUGGUACCAAGGUUCCUGAAGGCUGCCUGAUAUUUAUUAUUGAGGUUAAGUCCGAAUGUUUUGGUCAUGUAUCUCCAUGUCUCGCGUUCUUUGAAGGAAUGAUCUCCUUCUAGUGAAUAGCAUUGUGGAGAGAACCUUUAUUUGUGAGCAUUGCCCUACCAAUACUUCAAACACCAUUAAACCUAUCACAAAACUUCGCAAAUGUAAAGGGUAAAUUAAAUAGGGCGGUUCAUAAGUUUAAUAAAGUUUCUUUCUUUUCUUUUUCUUUCUUUUUAAGUGAAAGAAGGUUAACCCAUCAAAAUUUAUUAACGCAGAAUUUCACACUAAGAAUGCAGCAUAAUGACAGCACCUUGGAGCAAAGACUGAUUGGAGAUAACAUGUAAAGCAUGGAAGAGAUAGAAGAAAGGAACAACAACUUGCAAGAUUUCAAAAUUGUGCAGCAAAAUAUCAAGAUGAGACCACCAUAAGUAUGGAUUAUUGUUGCAAACAAACAGAAUAUUUUAGACUUAAUGAAGAAAUAAAGUAAGAGUUCUUGUUAACAUAAGACUACAAACCUCAAGCGGAUUCAAUCUUUAUAAGAAUCAUACACCUCUCCUACCUUCAUCUCAGAAUCAUCUGCAAGGGAAGAAUCAUCUAUGGUACCAUCAAUCUCAUCAUCCUCAAGAUUCAUAAAUGUAGUUUGAUUAUCAAAGUCACCAUCAAAUAGAGGACCCUCAACAUCAGAGAACUCAUUAAAACUCUCAAUUCUCUUUCUCCUUCCUCUGUAACCAGUAAACCUCAGGAUCUUCUCCUUCCAGAGAACCAAGGGACAUUUAUCUGCCAACUCAGAACCUUCAUAUGCUUCUGUCAGAAACACACUGAGACGCUUACCCCUUUCAGAUACAUAAAAUAUGCCAAAGUGCUUCAAAAGAAGCCUCAUUAGCUUCUGAGGCAUUACAAAUUCACGUCGAAAGUGCGUGAGGUGGUCAGUAACCAGCCGCUUUUCGAUGGUAAAGCUCAAUAUCUCAUGCAUGAUUGCCACAGCCCUCUUAUCAAACUCUUGCGAGCCAGGUGAGAGCCCUUUAGCAUCAGCAUAUGGAGACAAGUGUGACCUCUUCUGAAAAUGCUCGAUUUUACCGCCAUAUCUAAAGAGUUUCUUGUAAUUCGAAGGAAAUUUCAUUGGAAAAGGAAGGAAAAGAACUUCAGAUUCAGAAGAAAUAUCGGAGAUUGUUCCUGUUGCCAUAGCUUUCUUCUCUAGCUCUGUAACAGCCCAAGCGGGAUUCCAAGAAACAAGCUGCAAAUACUCAGCAUCCUCAAUUCUUACAACCUUGAAGUGAUCUGGAAACAUAUGGAUCCAUCGAUUUCUGAAAUCAUAAGGAAGACCAAAAUCUCGUCUAAAAUGUGCAAUUUUAUCAACUGAAAGCCUCUUAUUCACUGACAUCAUCAAUAACCUUGUAACAUACUCAACUGCUUUCUCAGAAUGCUCUUCCAAUAGCCUAGUCUCUUCUUCCACAAGAUCCUCAGCUUCCUUCGUUAGCCCACACCAUAUCACUCCCUUCUUGUCCCUGUACAGCUCAAACAGCUUUGGGGACUUGCGGAUAAAGUGCACGACCUUAUGUGGCUUACUCAGAUUAAUCUGCUGCCGAUACUGCUCCAAUCUUUUAAGUGGUAUCACUUGUUCGGGUUCUCUCUUCAAUGCCUCAAUCACAACUAACACUUUUGAAGUAACCUUUGACCUCUCUGUGGCUAUCUCAAGAUCAUGCACCCUCUUCUUCUUGCUGCGAUCUUGCACCCUUCUACUUUUUGUCAUUGUGCGCUUUUGUGAGGCCAUGAAGAACCAAUGAAAAGACAAUCCAGUGCUUUCUCUCAACAUGUUACCAGCAGGAAUCAGAAACUGUUAAAUCAGGAAACAGAUCCAAUCAGAUAAACAGGAAAGAAACAAGAACUGUUUGCCUUCAACAUAUUUACCAAGCAUUUAAGCAAUCAAGUAACAAAUAAUAAGUCGUUGAAAAUCGACUGACAAUAUUGUUGGUAUCCUCUAUGAUUUAAAGGUAGAUUAAAAAACACAUCCCAAAAAGUCUUCACAAAAUGAUUUAGUAAGUCCAAAAUAAGAAAAAUAUGCAUAGCUUAAUAUUGCUUAAAUAUAAUGUAUAUAACCAGUAUUACAGAUAGUCCAUUUAAGCAAGUCAGACAUAAUUAUUUAUUUAUGUAAUUAGCCAUAGUGAUUGUGUACAACAAUAACAAGUAUUAGGAAAGUACUUUUGACAAUUAAAUAUUAGUUUCCCAGAAACACAAUAAGCAAAUAAGUUUAUAUGAAGAUAACAAAGUAAACAGGAUAAGAUAUCACGGCUAAUCAUCUCAAUGUACAGAACCGAGUAAACUUCCAUUUUAACUUUUAAAUAAAAAUAUCAGAUGUUAAUAAUCUUCUGAGUUAGUAAACAUUUUCAAUACUUCUGAUGUUCAACAUGCCUCCCAAAAAAAGGCACAGAAAUAUCUAUAUUUAACAAGAAAACAAUAAAAACCCCAUAAAUUUUCAAACCAUGUCUGCAUAUUGUAUAAGAAAAACUCCUGAGUGCCACUCUGUUUAUGAUGCUCCCUGAGUUUCCGUAUUUCCACCACCUCUCCAUAUUAAACUACUCCCUCAUCCAAUGUGAGCACGUUAAUAAGCAAAGCUGCACUCCAAUGCUGCCUCAUCAGGCAUUCAAUGGCGAGUACUCUUACAUCCAGUGAGAUGUGCAUUUGUGCAGGCAGGCAAGCGCCAUGCACAUGAACAAGCAUGUUUGCCCAAAUGCAUGUGUGCACACACAAAAACACACUUACAUUCAAUGAAGAGUGCUCUUAUAUUCAAUAAUGUGUGCAGGCGGUCAGCUGAGCAUCAUGCAAAUGUACAGCGCAUGUGCCCAAACAAAACGCAGACAGACACAAUGAUAUACGUACAUUAAUAUGCAUACACAUAUCACCCAUAUACACAUGCAUAAAUAUAUGCAUUCAAAUGUCCCUGCGUGUGUGAACCAUGUUGCACGCAUGCAUACAAACAUGUGUAUGCAUAUUCCCAUGUAUACAAGCUUCAGAUGGCUGACCAAAUGAUUCCAACACGUUAAUGUACUACAAUGUACAGCGAUCGGCAUCACAAUGCUCCUAAUAACUAAGAAGCAUGCUUUCAUCUAAUUACAUUUCCUACAUUGCCAAAUUUGGAGGAUGUAUUCAGCAAAUUAUCUACACCAAUAACAAGAACAUGCAAUUGUUAACUUAUGCACGUAAAGCACCAAUUUAUUACAGAAAAUCCAGAUUUUCUGUCCCUAGCACUUUGAUACAAGAACCAAAAACACAGAUUAUCAAGUCUAAUCCAACUUAACCUAACAGUAAUUCAAAAGCGCCCUGCUUUAUCAAGUAAUACUAUACUAGAAUCCAUGCAUAAUAAUGCAACUACAGCAACUAAACGCAAAACGAGCUGAAAGAAUUUCCAUAAACCCCAUCAGAAGAUUUCUUAAAAAUGCUGUGCAAAACUACAGAAUUCCAUCACGUUUUACGAUAUUCAUAUUUCCAAUACCAGUAACUUAUUGCUUAGUACUGAUUUACCAACCCCACAAACCCAUUAAAACCCAAAAUGAUAACUGGAAAAUCAAAGCAAUCAAAUCGACAAAUUUAUCCUAACCAAUGGGGCAAAACGUAAGUGCCGGGACCGUAUAGAAUGACAUAGGGUUUAUCACUUUGCUUAGUUCUAAUUUAGCAACCCUACAAGCCCAUUAAAACCCAAAAUGAUAACCGAAAAAUCAGAGCAAUCAAAUCAAAAAAUUUAGCCUAACCAAUGGGGCAAAACACUAGUGCCGGGACCGUAUAAAAUGACAUAGGGUUUACUUUUGGGGCGACGACAGUGGCGGCCUUCACGGUGAGGCCACGGAAGCUCCUCUGGCCGAGCCCCACCCCGCACGCUCCCACCGAGGAAGGAAUCCUAAAAGGCACCAGCGAGAGGCGAAGCCCGUCGAAUGACAGCAGGCUCGUCCUCCUCACCACUCCAGAUCCAGAGAAUCGCACAGCCUCCAUCAACGUACGGAUCGAUGGUCACUGCGAAGAAAUUAAACCAUAACAAAUGCAAAAAAAAAUCAAAUUUUCAGGGGAUUUUCGGGAGAAAAAUGUGGGAAAAAAUAACGAAGAGAAGAACCGUAGAAUGGAAAUGGGGAAAGCUAUGAAGAAUAUAGGGAUUACAGGGAAUUCACGAAUUGCUGACGCCAGGAGAGCGAGCCACGGAGAGGACAACCCUAGCGAGCCGAAUGCCAAUGGAGAGAAGAUGGCUGGGUUUUAUACGAGAGUUUGGUUAUAAUGUCUGUGGGAACCCAUUUUACUAACCUACUCGCUGCGAAAGUACGAAAGGAGGGAGUAUUUUAUAUGUCUGGAAAUUAAAUUUGAUUUCGGCUUAUUGGAAGUUUCAGUCGAAGUAAAAUGUUCUGGAGGGAUAAUGUAAAGGGCCAAGCCAAAAGUCCAAUUCACCAUCGGUACUUGGGUCUGCGUUGACAUCCAUCAAGAGCUGUUCCAUCAAGAGCACAGCUCUUGAUGGAUGGUUCCACUGCACUAGUCGGUUUGGCAGCUUGGCUGAGCCAUACUAGGGAUUGGAUUUGCCAGAUCCCUAUAGCUUUGCAUGGUCGAAUCAUAUGUAUUUGAUCUAUGUAUUCCCAAAGGGCAGUAUAAUGGAUCAGAUGUCAGUAGUAGUGGAUUCUGUAGGAGUCAAUUCAAAUUUAUUGGGGGUUCAUACCAGUAACACCAACGAAUCAGAAAUUAAGGCUCCUUAUGUUUGCCUAUUUGAAUUGUGAUGUUCGCUGAGGUUAUUCAGUAGGAUUAUUUGGCAAGCUAAUGGUACCAAGGUCCCUGAAGGCUGCCUGAUAUUUAUUAUUGAGGUUAAGUCCGAACAUUUUGGUCAUGUAUCUCCGUGUCUCAUGUUCUUUGAAUGAAUGAUCUCCUUCUAGUCAAUAGCAUUGUGGAGAGAACCUUUAUUUGUGAACACUGCCCUGCCAGUAUUUCAAACCUUUUGACCAUUAAACCUAUUUCAAAACUUUGCAAAUGUAAAAGAUAACGGUAAUUUAAAUAGGGCGGUUCAUAAGUUUAGUAGAGUUUCUUUCUUUUCUUUUUUCUUUCUUUUAAGUGAAAGAAGGUUAACCCAUCAAAAUUUAUUAACACAGAAUUUCACAUUAAGAAUGCAGCAUAAUGACAGCACCUUGGAGCAAAGACUGAUUGGAGAUGACAUGUAAAGCAUGGAAAAGAUAGAAGAAAGGAGCAACAACUUGCAAGAUUUCAAAAUUGUGCGGCAAAAUAUCAAGAUGAGACCACCAUAAGUAUGGAUUAUUGUUGCAAACAAACAGAAUAUUCUAGACUUAAUCAAGAAAUACAGUAAGAGUUCCUUUUAACAUAAGACUACAAACCUCAAGUGGAUCCAAUCUUUAUAAGAAUCAUACACCUCUCCUACCUUCAUCUCAGAAUCAUCUGCAAGGGAAGAAUCGUCUAUGGUACCAUCAAUCUCAUCAUCCUCAAGAUUCAUAAAUGUAGUUUGAUUAUCAAAGUCACCAUCAAAUAGAGCACCCUCAACAUCAGAGAACUCAUUAAAACUCUCAAUUCUCUUUCUCCUUCCUCUGUAACCAGUAAGCCUCAGGAUCUUCUCCUUCCAGAGAACCAAGGGACAUUUAUCAGCCAACUCAGAACCUUCAUAUGCUUCUGUCAGAAACACACUGAGAUGCUUACCCCUUUUGGAUACAUAAAAUAUGCCAAAGUGCUUCAAAAGAAGCCUCAUUAGCUUCUGAGGCAUUACAAAUUCACGUCGAAUACCAUAGCCCACCACCACCCUUCCCGAAGCAGUGAUAACCAAAGCAUAAGCAAUAACACAGCUUGUUCAACUAAAAUCCAUAAUGCACAAAUAAUAUUAAACAAGAGGCCAUGAACAUAGAAAUUCUCUUUCUGCCAUUAUGUUUCAAGAUUGAAAAAGACUAAAAAAAGAAAGAACACUCUGAAGGCAAGAUGGUUCAUAGCUGGGCUGUAUAGACUCAUACUAAACAAAAGCUUCUUAAAAAUAUCUAAGAUGAAAUUCUAGAAGGAAAUUUGACAUGAGGAACUUGAAAUGCAAUCAGCCUACACUUAUUCCCAGCCUGAGGGAGCCGGUGGGGCAGCCUCCCAACCAGAGGGCACAACAGGAGGAACACCUUCCGUAGGCAGAGCUGGAUCUGGAGCUGCAGCUGCAUCCCAUCCAUCAGCAGGAACAGGAGCUGUUCAUUAGACAGAAAGCGGAAAAAAAAGAGAGAGAAAGUUCUUAGAACAAAUAUGAACAGCUCAACGAUGCAACCAACCAUGUCCCCAGACAGCAAGGAAAAUGAUAGGAGAUAAUGCAACAUGACUUUCACAUGGCGCAUGACCAUCAUACAGAUUCAGCAAUAAACCAGUACAUUACCUGCAUCUAAUUACACGUCGAGUGGGGACAGCAAACAACAAAAACAAUUCCAUAAGGGGCUGCAACACUAAAAUAUUGCUCUGCAGAACAACUCUUAUUUCAUGACAGGAAAAAAAAUGUUAAGGAGCUUUUACUCAGCCGCAUUGUUGUUUCUGCUAGGCUUACUAUAUGGAACAUAAAGGAUCAAUAUCAUCUUAUGAAGUAGGCAACUCCAUCUACAGUGAAACAAGGCUGUUCGUAGUGCUCUAUGAAAUAAAAAGCUCUUAAUAAAUCAGGAAGGCCACAAAGACCUGAAAGGGGCAGACAUCAAACAAGGUGCAUACUUACAACAGAAUAAACAGAAUGCUAAAAUGGUCUCGCCGGAAAUAUGAAGGGUUAACGGUUUUUAAGAGCAUUUGGAGCACGGCACACUUAAUACUAGCAGGUAUCAAUUGUUUUAAGUUGGUGAACACAAAUUUCAAGGUAGCUACAACCAUUCUCCAUAUGCUGGACCACAAAUUCAUGCACAGGAUAACCAUAAAGCUCCAUGAACGAGGAAAAUCUGGGUAACAAGAAUCAUGCGAGGAGAAAGAACUGGUGAAAUUAGAAGGAUGAGAGAUUUUGGAAAUAGUCCUGACCUUGACUGGCAGGAACAGUGGCAGGUGCAGUUCCCAUGUCAGGAACCCACUGUUCAGCAGUCCACUGAUCAUUGGGUACCACACUGGUGUAAUCAGCAAUUCCACCAUGUUCAGGUGGGCCAGAGCCUCUUCUUCCUGUUCCAUUGGCUUCCUCAGGAUCCCUGUAGAAAAAUAGAUCGACCUGUGCAGACCACCAAACUAACUAAGAAACUCAAAGAUAUAAUCAGAGAAGCAUAUCUAACAUCAUCAAAUUAGCAAACCAGAAAAAAGAGUAAAUAUCAUAUUUCGAGCAAACGGGGAACUAUUUCAAAUGAAAAGCUGGAGAUUAGAUAACCCAAGGAAAUAAUGGAUCAACCAUUUCUUGUUCUGUAAAAACAGAGCGCUGCUUACACUUCCAGACCCUGAAGAGAUGCAGAAACUAAAGCUACUUCUAGCUAUGCAAAAACCAAAAAAUGUACACAAAAUGAUAGGGAAAAGAUGAUUCCUGCAAAUCAUAAAAACCUCGAUCUGUUUUUUCAGUGAUUUGAUAUGACUAUGUAGUUAGCUCUCGACAUUUGUUACCAAAAGACUCAUUUGAGAAAACUGGGACUAAAACAAUGUAUAGCCUAUCGAAAUGCUUCCCCUCCAGAUGAUUAAUUGAUAAUGCUUCAAAGCGAAGAGAAAACAAUUAGAAGCACAUAAGUCAAUAAUCUCUUACCAUCACUUCCCAUUUGUGCCCAGGAGCAAUAGUGCCACGCAUCUGGAGAACCAUCCUAGCCAACAACCAGAAGAGGCAGCCAAUACUGGACUUCCCUUUGUUGUUUGCAGGAAUUCCAAUAUCAACGUAUCGCAUUGGAGAAUCAGUGUCACAAAAGGCAAUGGUUGGAAUAUUUCCCAGAGCAGAUUCCUUGAUAGGCUGCAGGUAGUAUGAAUAGAAGGAAUUAAUAAUCCAUUUCCUUGGCCAGUAAUAAAAUCACACCUUUGUUACUGAUAAAUUCACCUGAUGAUCGGUUCUAGGAUCAGUGAGGAUGAGAAGCCGUGGCUCACUAAAGGAUGUCUGAAGCUGAUUGGUGAAGGUUCCAGGGGUGUGCCUCCCAGCAAUAGCAUGAGCACCUGUGUACUGAGCAAACUUCAAAACAGCUCUUUGACCAUAUGGCCUUGCAGAUUGGACAAUAAUAUCCUGAGGAUUUUCAAUCGCAACGAUGACCCUAGCUGCUAGCUGAAGUUUCUCCCAAGUUUUACCAAGGUUGAUGAUAAAGAUACCUGAAAAAUUAAGACUACAUGAGUUUCAGAAACCACUCGCUGAUGUAGGAAGUCAAAAGGUGCAAAUAGUUAAUAGAGAGAGAUAGAACAAGACAGCAACUAAUUAUUAUAACCACAGUACAAUUAUGAGUAGUAAUUGAAAAUACAUAUAUAUCAAAUUUAUAAUAAAAAACACUACUUUUAUAUGGAACUCAUCUAGAUUUAAGAAGCCCAAAGCAUAACAGUUGUGGAAGCAGCUCAGAUCCACAAAGUUGCAGAAAGCUAUACAAAUCCAACCGACUGAACAACAUUUAGCAAUCUGGCCUCUUUUAUCUUCUAGAAAUAGAUAUGAAUAGAUAUGGCUUGUUUUAGAAAUGCACUGAUAGUGUUUAGCUUUUCAAAGAUUUAAGCAAUGAUACUGAUGAAAGUAUUGACAUAACCUAGGAUAAAGGGUUACUGGUGUUAGCAAACCACACACCUACCAUUCCAAAAUCUCAAUUCUUAAAGCAGUCCUACCAAAAACUGCCCUCAACUUCAUGAUAACAGGUACAGUGACCUUUGCAGUUGGCAGAUCUGGCAACUUUAACACUGUUUUGGUGCUUAAUUAUAACACGACCCAUCUAAAACCAAAUUCACAAAAGCUUUAUUCCAACUACUUGUAGUUGGUGGUAUACAUCCUUCCACAUGAUUCAUUCCAAUACAUAGAGAGUUAAAUGAUUGUCCAUUGUUACCGUAAAGAUUUUAUGGACAAUCUUUCCUCAACUUCCAUCAACGGCCCCUCCAAUUAUGCAUAUACUCUGUGGUCCAAAACAUUGAAUAACAAUAAGACGUGUGGCAAUCAUUUCUAGCAGGUAGGAAUAGUACUAUUUUCUAUCGUUAACUGCAGAUUUUGCCCCAGGCCACCACAGGAUUCUCAUAUAUUCUGUGCUUAUCUUAUGUGCGAUGACCUUAUCAAUCAUCUGACGUCUUUGUCCAUAAAACAUGCGAAUCAUAUUAUUAUCCAACAAAAAUUCUCCUUGCAUACAUGAAAGUCGCCAAAAAUUCUCCAGGAAUACAGGAAAAGACCUAUUUCUUUUCAUCGAAGAAAUUUUUUCAGGAGCUUACAGUAGUUCAACAAGAUAAUCAUCCAUUCUUGUAUAUGAUAAAGUCAUAUUUCAACAGUUUGAAAAUAUAUACAGAAAAAUAUGACAAAAUAACAAAUAACAGGAAGAACUACAUGAAACAUGUCAUAGAAGAAAAACAACACGAAUCACAAACGGAAAAAAUAUACGAUUUAUCCCCACAAAAUCACGGGUAGUCUGUCCCUACCCGAGAGAGGUUAUCAGAAACUCUAAGCCAACAAAAAUAAAAGAAAAUAAGAGAAAGCGACAUCAACAGUUAUAUCAAGGCACGGUAAGAAAAUAUCUAACACUUCGCGAGCCAUGACUUACAAAUUUCCGUUUAUCUAGCAGAAUCUGAUCAAACAAGCGUCAGAAUUUUUUUUUAAAAAAAAAAGAAAGUAGGAUUGAACUUAAGCAGCCCAAAAACACUAAAAGGCUUGCAGCUAACCAAACAUUAUAACCAUUAACAAAAUCGAAACUUUUGCUGAAUUCUUUACUAACCUCAUCCGUAAAACUUGAAUAUAACUUAAAAUAACUGAUAAACUUAUUUAUGAAGACUUCAUCCUACAAUCUUUUCUCAUCGGAAGCAAUAACGCCAUAAACCUACAGAUCUAGGAGAUAGGAAACAGAAUUCUAAGGUCUAGGGUUGGGGCCUGGAUACCGUCGGAUCUUCGCUUAAAGACGUAGCGCUCCAUCUGGAAGUCGCAGUUCUUGGUGCCGAGAUGGACUUCGGCGGCGAGCAUCAUCUGGAUGUCCUGCUCCUUCUGAGAGAGCAUCCGAGUCGUCGCCAUGGCUGGAAGAGUCCCCUGGAGGCCGAGCUCGAGGGCUAUGGUUUUGGAGUAGAGGGAGAAGGGGAUCCCAGAAACCCUAGCCUCGCUUUUUAUUAUUAUUAUUUUUUUCAAUCCACAGGCGACGAUGGAGGAGCCGCGGGAGAAAGGAGGGAGGGGCUCUUAUUCUGUGCUCUCAGAACCCUAGCGUCCGUAGUAAAAUGACUGGAAUGCCCCCUUGGAAGAACGGGCCAGGUUUGCUCGAUGGAUCGGUGAACCAGGCGGAGAAAUUGGUUCGGGCCGGUUUGAGCGAUUGGGUCAGACCGCUUUGAAGAAGAUGUUUAAAUUUGGAAUAGUUUCUAACUAAUUGAUUCUUAUUACGUCUUCUUAUUUUCUUGUCUGAGCAAAAUCUAGUAUGGAUUGGAAUAGUAUAUUUGUAUUUCUUAAUUAGUGGACCAUUCACUGCAUCAAUGAAGACUACAUCAGCUUAAAUUUAGUUUUACAUUAUUAACAAGGAAAAGAGAAAUCACUCAGCCCAUAUUGCAUAGAAUUACAGUGUUUAGGACGAGCAAAUUAGAAAACCAAACCAGUUACUUUGAACUCAUCGAUGCUUUUUAUUUAGGCAUUCGUCAAUUGAGAAUGAGAGUUAAAUUGAAGAUCCAAUCGAGUUUCCAAUCUUAACACUGACCGAACUCAUUUUGAAUUUUGAGUUUCCAUAUUGCCCUAGCCUAGACUUCCGAGACAAGCAACUAAUUGGAAAGCCUUGAUUUAGACACUCUGAUUUACAUCUACAAUUUCAUGAUUAUAUGAUUCUGGGCAGAGCCAACAUAAAGGUUUGCAAAUUGAGGUCCAGUCAGCAAAGCAACCCAAAGACCAGUAAGCACAUGAUCCCGUCAACGAUGAAGACGAACGCUCACAGGCAAGGUUUAAUUCCAAUUAUGAACUCUUAAAAGCUUUGAAUCAGCCACUUUGUUUUCUUGGUUUUUUUUUUUUUUUUUUGGGUCUCUUCGUGACGCAGCCAGUUUAAAAGAAGUCCGGGUUACAGCAGUUUGUGUACCACAUUACACGCACAUCGUGAUGCCUUGUUUGUAUUCAUCUCGCAUGCAUUAGCAAUUGUAGGAAACGCCACAACAGCAUAUCUUGCAAAGUAGGAGCCUGCGGGUUUCUGAGGCUCCAAUAUUUGAUACGAGAGCAAAAAAUCUCAGAAAAAUAAGUCUCGAAUUAUCCCGAUACUAGCGAUGCACCAAAUCAGAUAUAGUCUUUCAUCACCAUGGCAUACAACAAGGACGAGCAUGAAAAAGGGAAGUCUCAUAACCUGUUUGAUGCAUUGGGUCACAAGCAAGCAACAUCCCUGCAGGCAGAAACAACACUUCCUGCAUGCUCAUCAAAAUCCAACAUACUAACAUAUCCUUGAUCGCUCAUAUUGAGUAUGAUGGACUUGGCUUAUAUUCUGUUCAAAACAACAUCUAAAUUCUCCUAUAAGCCAAAAUUGCAUAGCAAAGCAACUGUACCAUUACAUCGGACAGGUCCUCGAUAUACCUGGAUUCUGCAUCGGCUUCAAGUGCGACACAUGGCAUUGAAUCCUAACCAUCUUUUCAGCUUAGGAUGGGGAAGAUGCGGGUAACAUGCUCAAACGGGAUGCUGUCCACUGUGUUCUUCUUCAGCUCUGGGUGGUUGUACUCGUUGCGGGUGAGGACGAUAAGCCGGGAGCGGCCAUGACCCUUCUCGAGGGCCCAGCCACUGUUGGCCACCUGGUACUCCAGAAACUUGUCCAGGGAGAGACCUUCAAUGUUGAUGGCCUGCUCGGACAUGAAAUGGCUUCUAAGAACAAGAACUUGAACAGACAGCAAAAUGACACCUGAAAUCAUUUGUCUAGGCAGUUUUCUGUGCUUCAGCUUUCGGAGAAAAAGAAAUAUUUUCUACUGGCGUUAGGCAUUGACUUCCAAAUGAAACACUUUUCACGAGUUAAUUGCUCUCUCUAGGAGUGUGACGAUGCGUUUAUAAUAUUUGCAUGUAGGAUGAGUCAAAUGAGUUCAAAUUUUAACUGCUAACUCUAAUUCACAAAUCCAUAUCAUUGCAACAUGGUGAUGAGAUAAGAAGUGGGAGAACCAGGCGACAGGACAGAUCACAGAGUCAUGCCAGUGAUUCCAAAUCUAAGGGAGGAGAAAAUGGAAGUUCUGAUGUUUCCCAAGUUACUGGUUUCACCCCUAGUAAUGGAUGGAGGUAUGGGCAUGGAGAGUGGAAGGGUUUGUGUAUGCUGAGUCUGGACAAUGAUCAGCAACCUGUAGUAGGAUAGGCCCAAAGUCAAGGGUAUAUAUAGUAAGUUACCCUGAGCACCAUGUAGAAUGCAACUAAUUCUGCAACAACACAUAAUACAUAGCAAGUUCUGCAGAGAAACUAUUCAAGGAUUAAGACACACAAGGAUCAUCAAAAAAUUGUAAUAAUCUCUUAACUACACGCCAAUAUCACAAAUCUGACAAAAUUGGAAAAAGAUUCAAAAUGAAAGACUACAGUGGUGUCUAGCAUAUCAUUAGCUCCAACAAUGAUUAAUAUUGAUAAGCAGAGGAUUAGCGGAUAAAAGGACUAGAAAACCAUCAAUACUGAAUUAUUCUUAGGCCUUAGCGGAGCCAACUGAAUCUAAAAGUUCACAAUGAUGCAGUCAGACAUAAGCUGAGCUAGCCCUUAGCAUUUUGAACAUAUAUUCACUUUACCAAACAACAAACAAAAAGCAAAAUUUAGGCCCUUUACUAUUCUGCAGUAAAUUUUGACCUACAACUCGAGUAUCAAAGCAAUGCUCAACAUCAGUUGCCUUGUUAGCAUGCUUCUGCAAAUCACAUAGCAUAUGGAACAACAAUCUAUGCCCAAGCAUAAAGUUAUUAAAAUUGGUUCAUCACAAGGUAUGCCGAACCGGUCCGUACCGGGUACGGACCGGUCCGCCCUGGAAUCCGGUACCGGAUCAGCGUGGAAUCCGGUACCGGUAGCUUAUCGUUGGAGAAUCGGUAUGUAACCGGUACGGAAUCAGCGUGGAAUCUGGAACCGAUAGCUUAUCGGUACCGGCCCGGGCCGCCACCGGUCUGCCGACCGACACCAGUACGGUGGAUCUUGGUUCAUCAUUCACCAAACGCAUUCAAGCCAAAUAUAGCAAAGAAAAAAGAUGAAGAACAAAGCAAUCUUACCUCUGCAAGUACAGGCCUGGGUACUUUCUGGUAUGUUAAGGAAAGGACAUGAAUUGCAUAAGCUUGGAUUGCUUGCUCGAAACCUGUGCCAUAUUUAUUUAAGUCAAAAUAACUUAACCAUGAUAUAGAUACACAUGCGCGCAUGCGCACUCCACACACACGCAUAGAGGAAGGAAAGGAGGGAGUAAUUUUUCUAUAUGUUAGCAAAAUGAGACAAAAGCUUAAGAUGUGUUCUUGAGCUUGGUUAAAAAGAUCCUGGCAGAAAGAUGCCUGCUAGAUCCUUCACCAACAAGCUAGAAAAUCCAAAAGGAAUAUCUUUUCCCAGAUCAACUUCCCCAAUCCGGUAAAAUAUUGGCCCAUGGCCAAAUAACUAGCCAGUUUGCUCGAUUGACAGCUUCAUAUGAAGUUUGGAUUAGUUAAAAAUUUUGUUAGUGAGCGAGUGUCUACAGGGAUAAGCUCCCAAAUAUCACAUGUUGUUCAAGCUUUCUGUCAGCCCAUAAACAUCAAGAAAAGGUGCUCUCCUAUGAUGACCUGUGCCAAAAGUUUCUGUUACAAAAAUUGGGUGUACAGGAUGGUUUUUAUAAGCUUUCCAUUUUAAGGAUACAAAGCAUUUACAAUGGAAUAUAAGGGUACAUAUUUCUUCAGAAGGCAGUUCAGAUCAUAUCAAAGAUAUGAAGGAUAGAAUACAUACAUAAAAGUUCAGGAAAGUAGUUCAAGUUCUCUGAAGGAUAACUACUCUGGAACUAGUUGAACUCUUAAAACCAUAUCUCAAGGAGCAUUUCAAGAGAGUCGUUGAAAUUUAAACGAAGCAGAAUCUCCAUAAUAUAUGGUUUCAGGCAACUUAAAGAUAGUUCCAUUCAUAUUUGUUAUUGAUAUAUAUGCCUGAUUACCAGCUCACUAUACAAAGUUCAUUUGAGCUGAGACUCAUAAUUAUAAAGAAUUAAGGGGAAAGGACAAAAAUAGGACAAAUAACUAACCGAACACUAAUUGAAAGUUGAAAUUAAUCAUGUCUGAGAAGCAAUAAACCCCACUCUUCAAAAGAAAUGCAUGCAAAAAAGAAAGAAAGAAAAGAAAGAAAGGAAAAAGUGAGAGGCGAGAUGAGAUAUGCUGAACAACAUUUUACUAGUAGCAAGCUUGUUAACAUAUGAGGAUGGAUCGGGAACAUUUCGAUCUCUUUACCUGGAACAACUUCAAGUACGCUGCGAUUCUUCCCAGCUUCAUCCCAAAAUUGACGAAAUCUUGCAGUCUGUAGUCAUCAAAAGGAUUUUAGAUUAGCAUCGUUCAUUCUGAACAUAAACAAAAAUCAGAAUUAGCACUGAUACAUACCUCUAGAUAGUGAGAAAGAACAAUCAGUGUCUUGAACUGCUCCUCCAUUUGCUGUCCAGAGGCAGAAAGGAAUAGAAGAGAAGAUUAGAAUGAUAAGAUUUUUACUUCCAAUAAUCAUCAUAAGUCUGAAAGCACAGUAAUCGAGAGGAGUGAACAAUUGGAUCUCAAAGUGGAGUUAUUUAGCGGUAAACUAAUCUAGGUAAUGUAACAUGGACCACUGAAUAUCAAACAAGAAUAGAGGGCUAAACCCAGCCAAAACUUGUCCAUCAAGCUAUCUGCAAUAGAAGACAUCUAACCUCAAGCAACAAUGUCAGCUACAAAGGUGGGUGCUAAAGAUCUGAGGGAUUACCAAAUAAAAUUAACCAUUUGAUUGUAAAGGAAUACAUCUUUUCCAUUCUCUAAUUAAGAUUUACCAUUAUCAAAGUACUUGUCACUAGAAUGAUGCGUGUAUAUCCAAAAACUUCAUAUGUGCAUGCACAACCUCAUUAGCAUCAUUCAUUUCUUUUUGCAUGAAACUCUCAUGCACAGAUUUCAUUUUCAAGAAUACUGUUAAUUAUGACUGACAAGAGCUCACCUUUCUCCAGACAGGUUCAUGCAAUAGGGAUAUAUACACAGAUGCACUGCCAAAAAAAGGGGUUACAUACCACUUGUUCAGGAAUCAGGAAGAGACAAAGGUUAAAAUCUGGUGCUGGCAUUGCCAUGAGAGCCUGUUAAAAGAUGAAAAGGUAAAUGAUGAUAUUGCCAUGAGAUGUGGCAAAGCAUGGAAUAGAACUUGUUCAAAAUUAAUUAAUAUCCUGCUUCCAUAUGUUAAUUUUGGAGUUAACCAACCUUGAUCAAAAUCCGAACUACAAUUGGAAUGCUCAUCCGUUCGGGCUCAAACUACAAAAGAAAAUAAUGUCAGUAGAGGAAAAUUAUUCUUAUAUUUACAAGCACAUAUUUGAUAGAUAAGGAAAUGGGUAUAAAUAACCUGAUAAAGCCGAAGGAGGCAAAGAUUUGCAUCCAAACUGUAUGUUUGAGAUGAAACCUGCAACGUGAAGCAAUCAAGGAAAAACUUGUAAACAUGUACAAGGAAUCCUAAUGCAAAAUUAAAAAGAAAGAAAAAUGAAAGAAAGAAAUGAAAAAGUGCAACAUACAAGCAGCAAGCUUUGUCAGAAUUCACAAUUGGUUCAGAUUCCGGAUUCUAAAAUUAGGGAAACAUAAUAUACAAGUAACUCUAGCUCAAGUUUAACAGAAAGAAUUGUUAAAAAACUCUAUUAUUUGAAAUUGGAAAUACAAGAGACAUCAUAAAUCCUUUCUAUUAAAUAAUAUCUUUAACCAAGGGAAAGGGUGGCUUGCUAGCUGAAUGCAUGCUUAUAAACUAAACGCCUGCAAUGAUGAGCAUGACAGUAGGUGCACAUCAUAAACAAGCAAGAAAGAAAAUAUAUAUGAGUGCGGUUUAGGUCUUCAAUGAAGUGGAAAGCCAGGCUCAAAGUAGCUGUCUAAUAGUUUUAAAGCAUACCCCUUUCAUAUGUGAUGGAAAACACAUAUCUCAAAAUCCACCAUGCAUAGCAAGCAGGCCGAAAGUGAAAUUAAGUUUCCACUUUGCAGCAGAUGAUCGCAUCCAAAAUAUAUACCUGACUAUUUAAAUCUGAUGAAGUUAGCCCCUUAGUCCUCUUUACAAAUCUUAAACCUUCUUGCAAAUUAGGAGAGGCAGAAAAGACCCAUAUGUGCUUUCAUAAACCAUAGUGCAUGAAUGAGGUCAAUGAAUAAAGUGCUUCAUGGCAUUGAUGGCUAACAUUCAGUAAAAACAAACUUAAAUACUAUCAAAUCUCACAACAAUUGUGAAGCAAGACAUCUGACUUUGACUACUGUGAGGUUGGUUUUAUUAAACAAACAAGAUGGCAUCAGAAAUUCAAUAUAUUGUUGCAGAAAACAGCAACAUUGUGCCUAAAAGAAAGUUACAGAAUCAACUUAAAGUCUAGACUUUGUGGAAUCAUGUUGAAUGUAAUAUUCAGCAAAUUAAGAAUUCCAAACAACAUAUUUCACAGGCUAUCAAGUUGCUCCAUCUGAGCAAAGGCAUGAAACAAUAUGUUCUUGAAUUUAGAAGAGAUUCAUGCUGCUUCAAAAUCAUUAGCAAAAUACACAUUCGGGCAGGAACAGAUAAAUGGAUCGACACUUAAUCAUAAAAAGGCCUGAUAUGGCCUAAAUUCAUGGUAACGAUUUAUAGAAACUUGCAAGUUAAGGAGGGCCAAUUUGGCAUUGCUAGGUGAGCAAUACUGGAAAUUUGGUUGCUUGGACAACUCAAGGCUUAUCAUUGCUAUCAAACGCUAGGUAUUGGGCAAAUGAGCACAAAGAAAUUUAACUAUUUUGCCAGGAUUAAAGCUCCAGAACAGUCUGCAACCAUAGAGAAGCCUAUGCCAUAGUUCAUGGAGCCAGCCUCCUAAUCAGGCAUCCUAAGUUCAUGGAGACAAAACUUUCAAUUCUAUUUGAUAGUUCAUGGAGCCAGCCUCCUAAUCAGGCAUCCUAAGUUCAACUUAAGGGUCUCUAAAGAGAGUGAAACGCCCAAUCCACCUUGGGCUUUCCCUGAUUGGUACAAUGUGUUUCUAAUGUAAUGAGGACAUGAAACAUUGUUGGAGGUUUCACCAAGCCAAAUGCCAAGCUAGAGAAAACUAUUUAACAACAGAAAUUCAUAUAAUUGGUUUUCUAUAAAUAUUAUUUUCAUAUAAUCACUGUAAUCAAGAUCCUUCACUGAAGAAACUCGAAGCCGAUCGACCAGCAAUCACGCAAAUGAAUAAGGCUAUCAUCUUCGCAAUUAAAUAAAUAAAAAUAGCGAAAUUUGAAAUCCAAAAGCUUAAAAGAUCCGAUUGUAACAGCAUCACUCCAAAGAACAUUUCCCGGCAAUCAAUAUAGCAAAGUAAAACAAAACUAAAAAUCCAUAUUUCUUCAAACAAACUACAGAGUUCAACAUUUCCCCGAUAAACGCUCGAUAUUGGGUAGGACAUCAAGAGAUUAAUUAAGAGAAGCUCACCUGCUCAUUGACGUAGUUCUCGAGAUCGGUGAGGAUGUCGGGGUUGUAGGGGUUCACGGCGACGAGCUGCUCCACCGUGUACGAGACCUGCUGCUGCUGGGAUUCUCGUUCUCUCACCAUCUCUCGAUCAAAACCCUAGAUCAAAAACCCUAAAAGCCCUAGACGAGAGAGAGAUCUGGGGCGAGACCGGAGAAUUGGGGGAAGAAUUGAAGAAACCCUAACCCUGACCCUGAUCUUGCAAGAGACCGGUGCCUCGACGAGCAAGGGGAUAUAUACCCGAGUGGACCGCAGAUCAGAUGAUCCUGGCCGUUGGAUUUAUGGGUCCCAUUUUAUGGCAGUCUCAUUUCCGAGGGACUACUGAUCGAAAAGCCUGGAUUGACUGCCAGAAUCUGGAGUGGAUGUCCCACGUGCAACCGAAAUCCAUGCAGGGACCUGAUCCGCGCCGUUCGUCGUGUCGAUAGAAACAAUCGCAUCCAUCUAUUCGUGGCGUCGCACAAGGUGGAGUCAUUCAAGAUCCAUUAGCCUGGCGAUGGCGAGGCCCUUUAGCCUAGAGGAAGUUCAAGACAACAACAUGAAAACCUUAAUUCAUACUAACUUGAUCCAGUAUUAGGUCAAGACCUCCUAAUCCAUAUCUAGCCAUAGGUCAUUUCGAGUCACCUCUUUAAUUCUAAAACUUAUUUAUUUUGCAAGAUUUAAUAUCUAAUAAAUCUAACUUAAUGCAGCAAAUACAAUCCUUACCGUUCUUAUUAGCUAAUUUUUAAAAUAAUUAAACAACUAGUAUUAUAAAAGAAAAAUCGGCCACUCUGAAAUUUUCAUUCAAGACCAUGACUCAAACUGACCUAAAUAAUUUUAACCUGAAUAGAGGGGAGCUCUCAUAUGCUUUGGAAUAAUUUAAACUCAUGCCCGAUCUUAACUAAAAUUUCUUGAUAAUAGGUCGGGUCAGGCCGAGUUUCCAAGCCAUGUUAGUUUUUAUCACCUCUACUUUAAAUUCCCUACCCUGCCCCAAACUAGAGAGAGAAUACUCGGGUGAUGUUUAAAGAAUUUUCAAUAUCACAAUUCAAAAAUUAAUCACGCAAACAAAACUUCAAAAUUCAAGACUCCUAAUUUAUAGUCAAAAGCUAGGGUGUCAAAUGCAGCACGUAAAAAGGUUUAGGGAUACAACAUUCCCAAUGGGUCAGAUUGCAGCAACAAAACUCUCUUAUCCACAAUCCCAUUUCCUAUUUUUCUUUGAACUUAGGCAUUGGUUUUGCAAUCCAACUGCGGCACAAGAUGGGCGAGAGGUGAAGCAGCGGUGACGUGAAGAAGAAAAGUGUCCAUGAACAUCAAGAAAGAAACUGGAUCAAGAAAUCUGCAAAUUGGUUGGGCAUGCACUUGGUCUCGCCAAAACUCUCUGACCCCUUCACCAUCUAUAUUGGCUUGACUAACGGAACCAAUUCAAGUAAGAAUUCAUUGACAUUUAGAGCAUUGAAUAUAAUUUUAGGGCUAUAGAUAUAUCAGCAUGCAUGAUUCAAAUGAUUAUUCAAUCUACAUAAUAAUAUCUAAGCUACAUUUGAAGGUAGAACGAGAGAGAGAGAGAGAGAGAGAGAGAGAGAGAGAGAGAGAGAGAGNNNNNNNNNNNNNNNNNNNNAGAGAGAGAGAGAGUAAAAAGUCGUUUAACCCAACAAGAGUUAUUGGAGUGCUCUAAGUUGGAUAAUUUUGAAAGGGCAAAAUAUGUAUUUAUGAAUACUGGUGCACAAGUUUUUGCCUUCCAGCCCCGUUUCCACCUAAUUUAAGAAUAAGUCACUCUAUUAUAUAUAGUUGAGUAAUUUAUUUUCAAAAAGUAAAGAAUAAUAGUAUUGCCAUCCCAUCUCAAUAAUCUAGUUAGCAACCAUGAGCAAGCACCAUGUUGAUUAAAAGUGAUGAAAUUAGAGCAAUAGAGAUCAUAUGAGUCUUGCUAGAUUGAUAAAAGGUCGAUCAUGAUAAAUUUCGUAUAGAUCGAAAGAGAAGAGUUCGGUCAUAAACAGGCUGAAAACUUAGACGUUGGCCCUGAUCAACCAUGAUACAUAGAAAUAGAUUAAGAUGACUGAAGCAGUCUCAAGAUAAUCUCAAAUAUAGAACUGUUAUAUAAUUAUCGGCCUAACAAUUGUAAAGCAACCAUGCUGAUGAACGUAUAUAGUAGGGGGAUAACUGGUGACAGUUACAAGAACCACUAAAAGUGGAGGCCAGACGUAGGAGCAAUCGUCAAAAUAAGCAGUUAUUAUUUAUUAAAAAUAAAUAAGUGAAAAUUGUGCUUUGGAAGAAACCCUUCGACAAUCAAUCCAAUAUGUCUUUUAUCUUAAUUUUACUUUACUAGUAGCUUUUUCCCUAAGAAUAGAUGCAACUUAGAUUUUUUUCAAUAGCCCAAUGCUACACUCCUGUCACAACCUAGUGCUAUUUUUUUUAUUGUAGCCCAACGUUAUAAUCCUUAUCCAUAUUCAAGACGAUGGUACAGUGACGAUGAAAGUCCUUGGAGAUUAAGAUACUUGGAUCCAUACUGCUCUCAAUCGUCCAUUCAAUUGCUAUUAUCAUUCUGUCGGCGGAUCAAAUGCCAGUAACAUGCCUGCACACUACAACCUCGUUAAGAUUGUAACUCGAGUCAUUCUCCAACGAUCAACUAAGUUUAUUGGAAUCUCAAAGUUUUCUGGUACUCGUCUGCAUGGGACGGAAAAGCCGGCCAACAAAUAGUAAUAAGUUAUUUUGCUUCCAGGUCUCGAAGGCUUUGUCCCUAGUUCGAACUCAUGUACAUGAACCGAUUACUCAUAUAUCUGGAAAAGUUUUUCAAAGAAAUCUUUCCCAUGAUUCCUAAACUCUCCCUGUCAUCCAAGCAAGAGAAAAAUGAGCACUUAUUGGGGCUCCAACUCUCUCUCUCCAUGGUCACCCCCCUUAUCCCUGAAUGCAGCCAGCCACCUUUCGCCAUGAACCAAUACCUAGAAACUUAUCACGCUUGAUAAAAUGGGAGUUGGAUGGAAGGGGCACGGAAGGCAGUGACAUGAUUGUUGGACGACGAUUGUUCUUGUUGGCCAUCCUUCGUAGUCCUAUUUUAGGCCUAUACAUCCGAAGUAUAAAGAUUUAGCUAACAAAAUAUAUAUAAUAUAAGAAUCUCUUACCAUCUGCGACAAAUAUGUGACAGAGGAAUUAGAAAAUAAAGGGAUCAAUAUAAGAAAGAGAUUGAUAUGCAUGAGGAAAAAUAAAACUAGAAUAGUUGUUUUCUCAAUUCUUAAUUGAAUCAUUGGUAUUUUUCCCUCCUGUGUGUAACAAAGUAUGGAAAGGAUAUUCUUUAUACCAUUGGAGGUGUUGCGGGAGGGGAGGGGCCUUGAAUUUAGUCCCACAUUGGCUAGUAGCGGGAAGGUUCUGUGCCUUAAAUGGGGGUUGGAAAACCUUUCCUCUCGAGGCGCAUUUUGAAGGCAAAAUCGUGAGGGCAGUGGUCUCCCCCCGUCUGCGCUAGACGCGCGGGCCGGAGCGCCCAAAGCGGACAAUACCUCGGGAGGAACGCAGUCCUUUUUCUCUGCUAGCUUAAUGUGGGCUAGGCUGUUGUGUGAGGCUCCGGCAGAAUGCCGUCUCCGCAACAGNNNNNNNNNNNNNNNNNNNNNNNNNNNNNNNNNNNNNNNNNNNNNNNNNNNNNNNNNNNNNNNNNNNNNNNNNNNNNNNNNNNNNNNNNNNNNNNNNNNNNNNNNNNNNNNNNNNNNNNNNNNNNNNNNNNNNNNNNNNNNNNNNNNNNNNNNNNNNNNNNNNNNNNNNNNNNNNNNNNNNNNNNNNNNNNNNNNNNNNNNNNNNNNNNNNNNNNNNNNNNNNNNNNNNNNNNNNNNNNNNNNNNNNNNNNNNNNNNNNNNNNNNNNNNNNNNNNNNNNNNNNNNNNNNNNNNNNNNNNNNNNNNNNNNNNNNNNNNNNNNNNNNNNNNNNNNNNNNNNNNNNNNNNNNNNNNNNNNNNNNNNNNNNNNNNNNNNNNNNNNNNNNNNNNNNNNNNNNNNNNNNNNNNNNNNNNNNNNNNNNNNNNNNNNNNNNNNNNNNNNNNNNNNNNNNCCUCGGGAGGAACGUAGUCCUCUUUCUCUGCUAGCUUAAUGUGGGCUAGGCUGUUGUGUGAGGCUCCGGCAGAAUGCCGUCCCCGCAACAAGAGGAAUAGAUUUAUUAAGCAAAAAAAGAAAAGAAAAAAAGGAUCUUUUCACAUUUAGCUAGAGACGCGAGCAGGAGAUAAGUGAUUAUGUUAGAUUUUGAGGUGUUCUGAAUUUUUUUUUUUUUUUGGUUAAAGAUGAGAUCGCCCUUAGUUUUUUUAUGCGUUAAUUGAAUAGAUAGAGUAGAAAAAGAUAAUUAGAGGGAUUAAAUUUCUUCAAUUCUAUAGUAUAAUAUUGAUCAACCAAAAUAUUGAAGCAAGAUCACACGAUGUGACCUUGCUUACAAGAGUAUAAAUCUUGAUCUCAUCCUCUCUUUGGUGAUUGGUAGAAGCCUACCCAAGAUCUUCUUCCUCGAAAGAAAUUAUUGGAUUUUUUUUUGCCGUGGCCUUAUUUCUUCGCUCGGAGAAAUUCUACACGUAUAAAUUAUUAAAAAAUACAUAAAAAAAUCAUAAAAUAAUAAAUACUUAUUUGAUUCAUUUCAUUAUAUCUCAAAAUUAAAUAGACAAUAUUGAUGAAGUGAAAGCAUAUAUAUUACUAAAUCUUUGCUGAGAGAAUAGCAUACAAAAGCCAGAUGGUAACUGCACUUCAUGAUUCACACAUCAUAAACAACUGGAAGGAGGUAGGAAUAAUGUGUUGUGUGCUAAAUAUGUAAUUUCUCAAUAAAAUCUUUAUAAAAGUAAGGAUAGAAAGAGACAUCGGGAAAGAGAGAUUUAACUAACCAUUUGGCUAGCUGGUAGAAUAAAGGAUGAGACUUGUAAGCAAACAUAAGCAUCUCAUGUCAUCGACAUGACGGAAACCGGCGUCAAAAAAUUUUGAUUGAUGUAUGCAGAUGAAUGUAAAUUAAGAAGUAAUCCUAAUUGGCAUUAGCAUAAGAAAAUAUCCUACAAAAUACGCAUAUCCAAUGUUCUAAGAGCAUCUUUUUCUGCCUCUUCGCAUAAACUAGGCUAAAAGUCAUACGGGCAAGGGUUCUAUGUUGUAUAACAAAAAUAUAUUUCCAUUACAAGCUGAAAACAUAAUACAUAGAGCAUUAAAAUUACAAGGGCUGUCACAUCUUGUACCUAAUAUUUCGACCAAAAAAAUGAAGACUUCAUUGCUCACCUAACAUGCAACUUCUUAUAUCUAUAUCACUACAACAAGGGCAACAUAAUCUAAUUGCAUCCUACAAAGCUCUUAUCCACAGCGAAUAUAAACAAAUAGAUUUGACCAAGCCCCUUGCAUGUGCAUCUCCCUCAAAAGGUCGUCUGAUUGGCCUGAUUUAGUCACACCGUCGUCGCCAUUUAGCUCUGGUAUGCAUGAAUAGCACCUUUAGAUUUUGGCAAUAUUCUCAAAACCGGGCCGGAAGGCGACUUGGUGCCCUAGCCAAUACAUUAAUUCACCGGCCAGACCGGUUUGAUCGACAAAUUCAACCGGUAACGUUAACAUGACAACAUACUGAUGUCAUAAAUAUUUUUGUUUUUCUAAAAUUUAUGAAAAUAUAAAAAAUCAGAAAAAUAAAGAAAAAUUUUCAUAUAUAUAUAUAUAUAUUUGAUUCAAAACUUUACUUGCACCAAGCAUUGGCCGACGAAGUGGCAGCAACUGUCGCCUUUUCCUUGGCAACACUGUCACACGAUACCCUAAUUCUGAUCCGCUUAAAGUUGAACCCUACAAUUUUGAUCCUGAUCCUUGUCUCAGCUCGAUCUCCAAUGGAAUUUCUUCCUCAUUGUCAAACCCACCGUCUCUCUUGGCUCUGACUCGUGCUUAGCACCGUCGCUUUGAGAAAGAUGGCAUUCUCGGUGGUGUAGAUAAAGAUCAGGAACGACUCAGCCCCAAUCUCCACUCCAUUAGAGUAGGCAGAGAUGGCGAUGUCAUUGCAGAGGACGAUGACAUUCUGGUUGGGGUUCCGGAUGGAGACGGCAAAAUCGAGGCGAGAGGUGAUGUUGAGGGUGGAGAGGUAGAAGGAGUCAAUGGAGAUGCUAGGUUGCUAAGGGUGGUAGAGGACAUAGAAGAUGCCGACGACAUUGGCAGCAAGGAAGGCGAUGGCAAUUAGGAAGAGGAUCAAUCGAGGCAAUAAGUGCAACAGCACCCGUCGUGAUAGGGGAGUGGAGCGUUGAAGAAAUGAACCAGGGUUAAAAAAUGGGAUUUUGGAAGAGCAUGCAAGACACUAAUUUGCAUAUUAAAGCAUAAAAGUAAUGUUAUCAUGGGAAAUCAGUGCAAUUCAUGUGAUUUGUUUCUGAUGAAUGUUUUGUGCUUACAGGAUGUAUUUACUCUGAAUUGGUUUAAUAAAUCCAGUAUACCAAAAAAUAAAAAUUUUGUAAGGGCAUAAUCCAUUUUGUUCAUUGAUAUGAUAUGUUUUAAGCUGAUGGCAAUAUGUUUAACCUAUCUCCCUCGACCAAUACACGAUCCACAUUCGAACAAUUACUUUAAGCAAACCAUCUUGGAUCUAUUAGCUCAUCGACAAGGCAAAAGCAAACACUAAUCUCCAUACAAGAAGCGUAUUAGUUUUUCUCAUAAACCUAUGUCAACACGAAUAUCCUAGUUCAUCAAGCCAUAUAAACUAACAAAACCGCCCAUAGAUUUCCCCUCCUCCAACCUAAUACCUCGCCAACUUGCAGUAAAUAAAUCACUCUAUUUGGUAAAUCCAAGGCAAUGUGGGCCAUCAAAAACCUUGUCCUUCACAUCUCAAACCACCUUCUUGGCUUGCAUUAGACUUCGUUUUUUUGGUUAGGACUUGCAUAAAGGCUUCAAAAUGACCCCUUCAUAUCGAUAACCUAAAUGCGCAAAUUAGAAAAUAAUAAAAUAAUGUCCGUUUUCUGGAACGAGCAAAGCACAUGACUUGUCACGUGGAGCCACGUCAUUUUAGCCGGUUCUGCAGGCGCAACACAAGCAACUUGAUAUUUUUCAGCAUAUGACAUACGUACCAUAGAAUCACAUGGUAAAAUUUUUCUUUCAUUUAUCGCACGAGACAAAGAAAGGUGUUGGGUUAUGGAUAUCAUAUCUCACCUACAUGAACAACCACAGCUCAUCAGAUCUGGAUGGUCCCGGGCUUUUAAUGGCUCAUCAUUCUUCAAGAGUCACAAUAUUAGCUAAACCCUAUUGGAUGAACAUCUACAUCGGCACGCUGGCUCGAUUGUUUGGAUGCCUACAGAGUAUGAGAUCUACUUGCUGCAAGUUGCACCAACAAAGAACAGCUGAAGCUUGCCUAUCCCCUCUAUAUCAAGUUGCAUAUUAUUUCAGCAAUGUCGCAUGAAGACAUACAGUAUUCUAAAGUUUUGGAGCUCUCAAAAUGAUGCUAGAGUGAUUUUUACAUGCAUGAACCAUCUUUACUUUGGUCGAUCUUAGAGGUAACGGGCAUGACUAUCCCUCUGGUGAGAUGGAUGGUGCUCAAGGAUGGCUAUAAGUUUCCCUCCUCAAUCUCUGUCAUGCAUGGCCAAUGGAUAAGGAUGGAUUUUGAGGGCAUGUGGCUAUUGUAAGAAAUUGGUUACUUUAUACGUAGUAGAAAUUAAAGAGAGGGGGAGCCCCGGUUGGGUCAGUGGGGUACAUCAGUUGGUGGAUUUUUCGCGAGUGCUUCUGACGCUUAGGCAGCCGAAUAAUUGCAAGCCUUUACGUGCAAUUCCAGGAACGUGGCGGGACCCUGCGGGCCACCUUGGGUUAGGUAGGGGCCUCGCGUCUCGCUGGAUCAGUUCCAAGCGGUGUCGAGGGCGGUCCCACCUCACCCUCCCCUAUUAUUUUUUUUUAUUUUUUAAUGCAUCUACAGCUCACACACUACGAAUUUGGUAGCAAAAUCAGAAAAUAAAACACCAUGUAAUAGCCCUGAAACCGACUCACUGUCCAUCCAAACAAAAUCACCAAAAUAGUAGGCCGCAUAUAUAGAAGACCACGCAGUCGGCUGUCUCGUUGUUAUUUUUGAAUACGUGUGAAGUCUGAUAGAAGGAGUUGCACUCUUUCAUCAAUUUACGAAUCUUCUGGAUCAACGGUCGAUCCUCAGUAGUACGUCUAUGUUUUCAGAUUCACUCGACUAUUAUGGCCGAAUCGUCCUUAAAAAUAAUAGGAUCUGCAGCCUUCCCGAUUGAAAGUCCCCAGUUGCUCUUGUUUUGUUCUGGCUCUAUUGUUAAUGCGGGACACCAGAAAUAAUCUAUUAACGUUAAAAGGAGUCCGUCCAUUUGUUUGGAUGGCAAGCUUGAGGUCAACCGUGUUGAUGGUUUCUUAUGGAAGUAAAAUAUAACAAAAAGUAAGAAGAAGAGAUUCUUUGUUAGUUGUUACUUCGCGAGACUUUUUGUGUCCUACUGUGAUGGAGAAGUGUAAUUGUUUACAGAGGGGGCGGCAUGGUGUUUCAAGUUUCAAUGUGCAAGGGAUGGAGAAAUUGAAAGUAGCUUAUCAAGAUAUAAGUAAACAGGGUGACGAUCUUAGAUAAUAAGAUUGCAUAGGAGGUUGUCUUUUGUAAGCACUUAUUAGGUGCAUUAUUUGAAUGUUUUGAUAAAUAAUUGAUGAACACAUUCCAAGGCCACAAAAUAUAGCAAAAAAAAUAGUUGUUUUAGUCCAUUUAAACUAUCAAUUAUUGGAGAGAUGACCGAUUGGAAGGCGACACAUUAAUCAUCCAAAAAAUUCGUGGACUAAAAAUUAUCAAAUUUGAAUAAAUCACUUUAUACUACCAACCAUAAUUUGGUGUGCAAAUCAAGAGAUUAAAGUUGGACAAAAUUAUACCACUAGUUUUAUUUCAAUGAGCCAACUUAUCAUUUUCCUUUUUUUUCCUUCUAUUUAAAGUCAGAAAGCUACAUACCAUCUUACAUCCGAGAUCGAAAAACUUUUUUCCAUCUUUAAAAACGAAUCUUAUAUAAAGGACCUAGGAUAUAACUGAAAAGAACAAUUAGUGAGCACAUUAUUUGUAUCUUUAUUUUGAUAUAGAACAUUACACAUCGCUGCGGAAUUAUCAUUUUUGCCCCCUCUAGUUAGCCCCUAAAAGUUCAUCAUCUAAAUAACUUAACUUUUAGUAAUUAGUCUAAUGUAACAAAAGGAUACUAGUAUUUUUUGAAACAAAAAAAUCUAGAUAGCCAUUAUCCAUUGGAUGGAAAAUAAAUACAAUACAAUACAACUUUCUUGUAUAUUUACAACUAGAGUCAUUAACAUUAAUUUUUGCACCUAACAUGAUGCUUAUAGCAGUGGCUAAUCCCUCAACCAACCAUAACCAUUUAUGAAUGGAACUUGAGGAGGCAGACAUUGUACCUCAAAACUAUUUUUCUAUUUUCAUAAAUAUCAGCGUAGAUGUCACAUAAUCGACCCAGAAAUGCUAAACAAAUGUCCAUUCUCUAAGAAAAAAUAAUUUAUGGCUACAAUUUUUUAUUUUAUCUCCAUCUUUAAUAUUUGUGCCAAUCACAUCAGGCUACAUUGUAGAUGGAAUAUUUUAAGACCCUGCGUGCUCUGCGAGUCUCUGCCAGCGAAUGCAGCGAAAGAGCGGCCGGAGCACGUGAUCGCCGUGCUUUGAGAAUCGUGGGCCCCCCGGAUCCGCCAACGGAUUUUAUCGGAUUGGCCCGCCGGAACCUGGAGUCCGCGCCUGCGUGCGCGCCAGCUCAGCACGAGGUCACCCCGGCCGUGCGGACCGGAUCCGGGUCGAAACCCUGCGGAUCCGAAACUCGUAGGGACGCAUCGGAUUCGGGCGAGGCGAUUAUCCCGCGAGCGGCGAUUCCUCGGCGCUGGCACUCGUCGGGUUUGGAGUUUGAUUACGUCGGUGGUGGUCCCACGGGAGAAGCGGACGGUCAGGCGUGUUCCGGUGGGUUGGAUCAUGGAUGGGUCCUUGUCGGUUGAAAGUUCCAGAUGCUGGAGCGAGACCAGAGCCGUCCAUCUCGGCAGGAUGCGUCACACCAGAGCACUGGUGAGGGCUCGGUUCACGGGAGGUCUCGCGUUGGAACGUUCUGCACGCCAAGGAUAGUCCAAGUGCCAAAAUGCCAAAUCCCUCUUUUCGAAAAUGAAAAAGUUUUUUUUUAUAAAAAAAAGUUUCAAAAUAAAUCCAAAAUCAAUCUGAAAAAGAAAAAAAUAAAAAACCUAAAAAAGCUCUAAAAAUACUCUUGAAGUUUCCAAGGAUUCACAUCUCUGAGCUUGCAUCAAGGAUGAAACAUAUGACAAUCAUGCAUUCAUCUCGGCGUGCAUUGAGUAUUGACACGUCACUCAUGUGGUAUAUCGGUAUCGAAUCGAUAUUUAUACAGUACGAUUUAUACCAUUUAAUUUGGACUGAUAUGGUGUACCAGACUUUCUAAUUUAUAACUACCAUGUAUUGAUAAAUAUAUUGUAUAGAUCUAAUUACAAUACUUAGAUCUUCUAUCUAAAAGGUUUUUUUAAAAAAAAAACUUGAUGGGGUGGCUUAUAAAAUGAUAACUAUUGUGAUAUGAAUUUUUCAUCGACAUGGAAAUGAUUAGACUAAUGGAAUGAUAUUUUAUCAAUUUUAUGGUUCAUGCAGGUCAAAAAAAAAAAAGUAUGCCUUACUAAUUAUUUUCACGGGACAUGUUUGAAAGAUCAUCCAUCCUGUUGCUGGAAAUUGGAGUGACCAGUGGCUGAGAAGAAGGAGCUCCGGCGAGAGUUGGCGAGUGGUGGUCCGUCGGCGGACGGCGUCCUCCGGGAGACCUAUAAAAAGCUGGUGGCCAGGAUUUUCGGCGUCGGCCCUCCGAUGCUUAAGUCAAAGGGGGCUAAUGUGUAGAAGAAGAGGAAGUAUUUUUUUGAGUUUCAGAGUCCAGCCCCGCUCUAAGAGGGAGGGAUUUUCCUUUUAUAGAGGGGUACAGGAUUACCUGUGAUGUGAUGGGGCGAACGGGUUACCGUCAUGAUUGAACAUGUCGUGUAAAUUAAUGCACGAUCGUGUGAAUUAAUGCAUUGCCGUGGGAGAUCAGGCCGAAGCUAGUGAGUCGUUGUGGCUAACCGAACGUAGCUGAGUGGGUCAAUUGUUUGCCGUGGAGGGCUUGAGAUCCGUAGAUAGCGUGCGCAUUGAUUGUUGAGUGAGCUGGAGAUCAACGGGGGUCAUGCGCAUUGAUUGUUGAGUGAGCCGGAGAUCUGCGGAGGCCAUGUGCAUUAAAUGUUGCAGGGCAUGGUCCCCGGUUGAGCACUCGAGCUGCAAAAGGAUGUGACCGUAGCAUGUGGAUAGUGAGGUCAGGCUUCCAAGAUCAAGGAUGCUGAGGUUGAAUAUCUAAGUCGGACGCCUUGAGGUCGAAUAUCCAGGUCGGAUGCCUUGAGGUCGGGCGCCUUCAGAUCAGGCGCCUUCAGGUCGGGCGCCUUCAAUCAUGUGCUGGCAAUGCACUCACGGGGCGAUUUAUUUUUUCCCCAACACAUCCAACUUUGGCUGAACAUCCAUUACAUUAUAACUAAUUAAUAUCAAUAAAUGCUAAAACCAAGUAUAACUACAAGGUGGUUGGUUACAAUAUUGAUGUGUCAUUGUUGAAGUAUAGAUCGGCAUAUGUAUCAACUAUCUCGCGAUACUUAUCCUGUACACGGUGACAUUGCUCGAAAGUCAAAAGUUCAUUACGUUAUCUAAUAUGUAUCCAUUUAAUAUCUAUUCAUAAGUGAUUUAUCAAUCAAUGCUGAAUUUAAUGAUAUAAUAGCGAUCAGUUAUACAAUUAAUGUGCUAUUAAUUUUGUUGAUGAGUAUGCGAGAAGUAUGUGUUUUGUAGUGUAAAAUGACCAUCUCAAGUAUCAGGAACGUUAUGGCAAACCAAAUUUAAUAACUUGAAUCUUCUAUUUAAUAAAACAAAUCAAAUUUCAUCACUGUUUAUAUUUUUGUUUACUCAACUGUUCAUGCUGACAGUUGCUAACUUAGCUAGUAGUCGCCUAGCUCUCCAGGAGAAAAUUUUUGGUCUCAGUUACAAAGUGAUUAAAAAAAAAAAUUGCUCUGAAAAAAUCUAUAACAGAUUAAUGAUAUCGGAAAUGAAUGAUAAUGAUAACAGUGAUGGACUAAAAUAUCAAUACAACACAUUGUCUUCUAGCUAACAACAAAUCUUUUGAGAAUCCACUGGCUGAAAGUUCUGAUAUUAUCACGUUAGGUGAGUUUAAAAAGAGUCAUGCCAAAUUCCAUGAAGUAAAAAAGCAAAAUAAGAAAAAUAAAAGACGUAAGUAGAGGCAUUUCAUGUAUAUAGAAAGAUGACAAAAAGAUUACAAUCUAGGCUUUUUAUAUAGUUUACAAGAGAGGUGAUAUGUUUUUUAGGCGAGAAGAAACUAGAUUAUGAUCUUUCUAGGUACAUUCUAUGUGCAUUUGGCGGUUCUAUAUUUGCACAUAAUUUUUUAGAGGCUUUUUCUUAGCACAAAUUUCAAAGACUUUAGCACAUUCAUAAAACUGCAGGCUAACCCUCGACACCAUCGUUACUUGAAAAUUUUAUUCUCAAGAAAAUAAUAAAUAAUUUUCCUCGGUUACAAAUCUAGAUCACAUGGGCAUUUGAACCAAGGUGUCACAAAUCUAAUAUCAUGGUGCAUUAUAGAGAAAAUGCUGUUAUCUAUACUUUUUUAUACGGUUCAUAAAGAGGUUGCAAUAUUUUUUUCAAAACCUAAGUGUGCUAUCACUUGAAAAAAAAACUUAUUCUAUAAUUUUUCUAUAUACAUUCGAUAUGCCUUUUGCCGGGUUUUACUCAGCAUACAAUUUUUUUAGUGCUCUUUUCCAUCCCCUUUUUAAAUAAUCUUGGAUAGUACUAAGAAACCCUCCAUUUAAUUGUAAUUUAAAAUUUAUACUUUUUUUAAAAAAAUAUAGGUAUAAUUCAUCUGGAUUAUGAUAUAUGUCAUAAUUUUUUUUAUUGGUACAACGGUAGCUCGUCCAUAUCGAGCAUAGAACCAACCAGUUAAAUCAAAAAAAAGCAUGAGGCACCACCGCGCGAGCAGUCUAAAUAAAGAAUCCAGCGUGGUGGGCAGUGAAUGAGUCACUCGGUCUACCGUAUUAUUUGCUUUUUUAUAAAUAUAUGUGAUUUUAUAUAUAUUACAUACAGUUAAGAGCUUGCGAAUAUAGCAUACCAGCGAUAUGAAACCAGCAUUAAGAUUUUAUAAUUCACCGGACAUUAUUACACAACAUUCCAUGGCUGCUUAUUUUGCACACACUUUAUUUAUUUUAUGCUUUUGUUUUUUCUCUUCUACUUAACUCGGUAAAUAAAAAAUAAAUGGAACAGACCGAGAGAUAAAAUUUGAACGGCGGCAGCCUCUUGCGACCCGGCGAGUGGAAGUUGAAAACAGGGGUGGAAAGGUAAAUAUCUCUUGACUUGACGAGAGACUCGAUGUUAGAAUUCUGACAAACUCGCCGAACCGUCAAAAACUCGGGCUGGAUAAAAUGAGAAAAAGUCGGAGCUCUGAAGUCCGAACCAACUCGAAAUAUUAAAAAAACCUUCUAUUUUCAGCAAACGCGAACUAAAGAAACCCAUCAACGGCUGUCCGCUUCCCAGCUACAAAACCCGAACCCGAAAAAGGAUAAAUGCUCUCCAUCUUCAUAAAAGAGUUCGUUUAUUUAUAGCAUACCGAGAGUCAAGGGGGGUGCACUUCAGGAAAAUACGGGAAGUGGUUAUCAAAUUCUGUCAGCUAGGAGAAAAACCGGCACCAGCGGCCGAGAGCGGUAUUGGUGGGGAGAAACAGGGGGAGAGAGACGGGAAGGGAGAUGGACCCCACCAAAGCUAAAGGUGGGAUCUUUUUUCGGGUAUAAAAGGGGCCUCAGGGGGAUGGCUUCCUUCAUCCCAUUGCCCCCAACUCCGUUCACUCCGUUUUCUUGAUCCCCUUUCUCUGUUGCGUUGUUUCGUUUCUCUUGUUUUCGUUCUUUUCUUCUCUCUUUGGGGCGCCAUUGGGGUCUCUCGGGAAGGUAAGGGUCUCUUCUCUAGUCUCUGCUUGGGAGGGAGUGCUGGUCUUCUGGGCUUAGGGGGGGUCGGGGAGUUUUCUGCGAGUACGGGGGAGUAGCUGCCCGUUUUCCACGAUAGGACUCUGUUACUGUUCCGAUCUGGUGAAAGAUUUCGACUUCCUUUGGUGUCGAUCUUGUUUUCAUGGCAAAGAUCGGUUUCUUUGCGAGUAGUUUGGUCCAGUUGCAGCAAAAAACCCUGGGUUUAUUCUCUGAUCUCGUCAAAGUUUUUGAGUUUCUUAAACUUGCUGAUCUUGUGUGCAUGGGAAAGAGACGUUCUUUUCGGAUUUUUUUAUUUUUUGGUUCGGUUGCAGCGAAAAACUCUGUUCCGUGUAAUCUGGUGUCUUUCGUGCCGAUCUUGGUGGCAUGGAAAAAGCUGUUUCUUUUCGAGUAGCUUGGUUAGAUUUAGGUAAAGAAACUCUGUUCUUUUGCAAAAUCUGGUGCAGGAUUUCGACUCUUCUUCUUGUCGACUACUACAUCUUGUUUGCAUGAAAAAGAGAGCUGUUCUUUUCGAGUAGUUCUGGUUCUAUUGCCGCCGAAACCUAUUUCUUUCUCCGAUCUGGUGAAAUAUUUUGAGUUUCUCGUGUACCGAUCUCGUCUGCAUGGUUUUUUAUCGAGUACUUUGUUUCGAUGACGGCAUCUCUUUUUUCUCUCUCUGAUCUGGUGAAAGAUUACGACUUUCUUUCGUACUGAAUACCGAUCUCGUUUGCAUGGAACAAAUCUGUUCUUUUUGGAGUAGUUUGGAUUGAUGACGGCCCAACACUGUUUUUUCUCCAAAAUCUAGUAAGAAAUAGGGUAGCUUCGGUCGGUCGUCGCUGAGUAACUGAAAAAUUUUUGCCUUCUUCCCACUUUUGAUCAGAGAUCUUCUCAGUAGUAACGUUUUUCUACAAGCUAUAUUCUUUUCUCCAAACUUAGUUAGGAUCUCGUCUGAUUUAAGUUGUCUAGUCGAGUAUAAGCAGAGAUCUUUUGAGAAAUCUGUGAAGAUUCGGCAAAAUAUCAUAAUUUGGUGGCAGAUCUGGUUUCUUCUUGAUUAUUUGCCAAAAAAAUCCUUCUCUUUAGAACUUCCUAUCUUGUUUUCUUUUAGAUCCCGUCCUCUCUUUCCACAAAUAUGGUUUUUUUUUAAUUUUUUGUAUAAACUCAGGGUUUCAUAGGAAACUGAACUACUUAUUGAAGGCCAAAAAUGAUACUUUUGCUCUCAGUUCAUAUUGCAAGCAUCUGCAAUUUCUUCUUCUUCUUCUUCGUCUUCUUCUUCUUCUAACUCUUUUCAUUAUCAAUUUCUUUGUAUAUAUGUAUGCAUGUAUUUUAAAUUAAGUUUCUGCAAUUUAUUAGUAAAAAAAUUCUAAGUUUCUUACUUAUGUUUCUGCAUUUUUAGUAAAAAAUUCUAAGUUUCUUAAUAUGUAUCCUUUCCUUUAGCUGAAGCAAGUUUUUCUUCCCUUUCCCUGGUCACCCUUUUGCUCUCUAAUGGAUAAGCAUGCGAGUUCCUCUGUCUCUGUCUUCUCUCUUAUUAAUAACAGUUAAAAAAAAUAACUUAAGUUUUUGUCGGUUUGAAAGCUUUUUCCAAGGAGAUCCGGAGAAACCAAAGAACUGUUACAGCUUUGAGCUUGGAGGGUCUCGUUUCUCUCGUGUUCGGAAUGCGAUACAGCUUGUUUUGUGUCGGAAAAAUAGAUCUCUGUUCGGAAAACGCCGUUUGGCACCUGCCACCUGCCACCUGCCACCUGCCCUUCCUCGCUCACUCUGACCGCAAUUCCUGUCGUUUUAUGGAGCCCAUCUGUCAGUAUUGGUGGUAGUUUAAACUACUAUUCAUUUCGACCGACUGCAUAUAUCAGAGAGGAAAAGAGUCUAUCUUAAUUAACAUUUAAUUCCCCUCCUUGUAUCUAUAUCUAAUUGUCUCAGUUAUUAAUUUUUACCAACUUUAUCUGUUCUAGAUUUAAUAUCCUUCUGAGAUCUGCACUUGUCUCUGCUUCUGGACUUUGGAUUUACCUUUUUUUUCAUUAUUUUAAUGUAAACAUCCCUUUUAAGUUUGCAUUAUCUUUAUUUUAUUUUAUUUUAAGAUAUGAUCAAAAUUUCAAAUUUGUUUGUAUUUGGUGCCGUAAUGUCAAAAAUUUUAGGUGCGUGUGGAGGGGUUUUUAGACCUGUGGGUUUUAGAUUUUCUUCUGGGUCGUCUUAUUUUGAUUUUUUCCCCCCCUUAAAAUCUCUUUGAUAGUAGUCUUGCUUCCAGUUGUUUCUGAUCUGAUAGGCUUUGGUUGCUGUUUUCUUCCUUGUUUUUUGCUUUUGUUGUGCUGUAGUCUGAGGCUUGAAGAAGGAAACAACAGAAGCCAUGGCAACUCCUCCUUUGAGUCGCAUUCACAGUGUGCGGGAGCGCCUCGGUGACACUCUGUCUGCCCAUCCGAAUGAAUUGGUGGCCCUCUUCUCAAGGUUGUGUCUUAACUCCCUUUGUGUUUUACGAUUCCUCUGGAAAUUUUCUGAUAUUUAAUGUUUGCAUCCAUGAUUUUUUGUCAAUCUGGAGGGUUAAAUACUUAGAUUUAGACAUUUGAUGGAUAUUAAACAUAUAAAUGAAUGCUCAAACUACUGUGGAGACAGCUUUCUAUGCUUUUAAUGUUUGAAGACCAAGAUCAGUGAACUAAUCACCCAGCUGCAUAUCUUCUUUCCCCAAAGUUUUCUCUUCCUGUUCUCAUAACCUCAAUUAUUUAUGGCAUGGAUUAUCCUGCAUAAUUAUCUAAGUCCUUUUGAUUGCAUGAUUCAUCCUGGAUCACUGGAAACGCUCACUGGCUUUCUUGUGAUAUAUGUUCUUUAGUGCACAGGUUAUGAGGAUUUCUGAUGGGUUAUCUGAUCGUUCUUUUCUUUGCAGGUUUGUUAACCAGGGAAAGGGAAUGCUGCUGCCUCAUCAGUUGUUAGCUGAAUACGAAGCUGUAAUACCCGAAGGGGAUAGAGAAAAGCUGAAGGAUGGGGUCUUUGAGGAUGUUCUGAAAGCUGCACAGGUGAAGCAUAGCUGGAACCUACUGCAUCGUGUUAUGCUUAACUUCUAAAAUCUUGUUCUUCAUUGUGUUAUGUAUUGUUUUUGUGAUACAGGAAGCCAUUGUUUUGCCUCCAUGGGUUGCUCUUGCUAUUCGCCCCAGGCCUGGUGUCUGGGAGUAUGUACGGGUAAAUGUGAGCGAGCUUGCUGUGGAAGAGUUGACUGUGCCCGAGUACUUGCAGUUCAAGGAAGAACUUGUGGAUGGAAGGUAGGAGAUACGAAUCCAAUAGAUCGUUUUCCAUGGCAAAACUAAUGUAUUUUGAUUAAAUCAUCAUAUUUAGUUGAGUAACUUAUUUCUGCCCUUUUUUCCUUUCCAUCUUUCAGUAGCCAAAAUAACAACUUUGUGCUGGAGCUGGACUUCGAGCCCUUCAAUGCUUCUUUCCCUCGUCCCUCGCUUUCAAAAUCCAUUGGCAAUGGAGUGCAAUUCCUUAAUCGUCAUCUUUCCUCAAAGUUGUUCCAUGACAAAGAAAGCAUGUACCCAGUACUUAAUUUCCUCCGAGCACAUAACUACAAGGGGACGGUAAACUUUCUACAGCUGUAUAAUGCAUCUAUCUGUUUUCUUUCAUUUUUUUUUUUUCUAAAGUUCAUUUUGAUGAAUCUCUGCUUUUAUAAGAUCUGUGGUCCUGUUAAGAAUCCAGAAUGAAACAUAAUAAGAAGACCUCCAGUAUGAUGUGAGCAAUAACCUGAACCAAGGGAUAUGAUAUUAAGAAUUUGAUCCAAUGCAAAAGUAUUUAGGCUGAUCAAUUGAAUAUUUUACAAGCAAUUAUGUAAUGGAAGAGUUUCCCAUCAAAACUAGAUUGUUGUUAUUUUCUGUAAUAAGUAUUAUAUAAAUUUAACAGCAGUAGAUAAUAGUGUUUUCAAUCAGUGAUAGAUCUUGAUGUUAAUCUGCUGUGGAUGGUCAAACAUUAGCAGAACUUUUGCACUGGUGAAUGGGGAAAAAUCAACACCCUUUACCACCGGGAUUUCCUGUUUGGUGCUUUCGGUUUCAUCCUAGGAUCAUAUUGUAUAAACCAUCUGAGCUAUUGAUCUUAAUUUAUUGCUGACAAAUUUUAAGUUCUAUGCUAAUUUUAUUUAAGCUACAUAAAUCAUCCAAGUGUUAAAAUUUUAAUGUGUUUCUAAUUAAGUUUAAGUCCUACACUAAUAUUAUUGUUAUGCCAUGCAGUCGAUGAUGCUAAACGAUAGAAUUCACAGCCUUAGUGCUCUCCAAGCUGCACUAAGGAAGGCCGAGGAAUAUUUGUUGAGUAUCCCAUCAGACACCCCAUACUCGGAAUUCAACCACAGGUAAAUUCUGUGCCAUUAUUUCUGUGGUUAUUGAUGAUAUUGAAGUAUGUUACCCACAGAUUCUUAUGCAGUUGAAAGUUUAAGUCAUCACAGCUGCUCACAUUGUUUCCCAUUUGCAUGAUGUUAGAUUUCAAGAGCUUGGUUUGGACAAGGGCUGGGGUGACACAACUCAGCGUUGUCAUGAGACCAUCCAUCUCCUUCUAGAUCUUCUGGAGGCACCUGAUCCGUGUACCUUGGAGAACUUCCUGGGGACGGUUCCUAUGGUGUUUAAUGUUGUCAUCCUUUCUCCUCAUGGCUACUUUGCCCAAGCUAAUGUCUUGGGGUAUCCUGACACUGGUGGCCAGGUAUAAUUCUAAAAUAAAAUUGAGUUAGAAAUAUAUCUGAGCUCACUUCUUUAACAUACAAAACCUUAAAUCUUAAUUUGCAGGUUGUUUAUAUUUUGGAUCAAGUUCGUGCUUUGGAGAAUGAGAUGCUACAAAGAAUAAAGAAACAAGGGCUCGAUAUCACACCUCGUAUUCUCAUUGUAAGUUCAAAUUGAUUUCUGGCGGGUUUCUUGUAAUGUUCUUUGUUUAUUUCCAAUAUAUAGAAAUCAUGGAGAAUGUCAUGGUGUCAAUUUAGUAACAAUAUGGAAUGGUCCACACUUGUAAUGGUCUUCUGACGUGACUCCCCUGUGAUCUAUUGCAGGUGACCAGAUUGCUACCUGAUGCAGUAGGCACCACUUGUGGUCAGCGUCUUGAAAAGGUCCUUGGAACAGAGCACACACACAUCCUUCGAGUUCCAUUUAGAACAGAGAACGGGAUUAUCCGGAAAUGGAUCUCACGUUUUGAAGUAUGGCCUUACCUGGAGACCUAUGCUGAGGUACAUCUUUCAUCAAUCUUUCUAAGCUUCCUCUCUGCACUUGCUUCCCAUUCAAUACCUUUCAGUUAUGAAAGAAAAUUUAUAUCGUUUUCCUUUGCGCUGUAGGAUGUUGCACAUGAACUAACAGGAGAAUUGCAAGCCAAGCCAGACCUGAUAAUUGGAAACUACAGUGAUGGAAACCUAGUAGCUUCUUUAUUGGCGCAUAAACUGGGAGUUACUCAGGUUUUGAUACUAGAACAUCAUUGACCCCUGGCUCUACUUAAUGGUGGUUAUUUUUUCAUCUGAAUUAAUAAUCUUUGUUCUUCCACAUGUAGUGCACCAUCGCCCAUGCCCUGGAGAAAACAAAGUAUCCAAAUUCAGAUAUAUACUGGAAGAAGUUUGAGAACCAGUAUCACUUCUCUUGCCAGUUCACAGCUGAUUUAAUUGCAAUGAACCAUGCGGACUUCAUCAUCACGAGUACCUUCCAAGAGAUUGCUGGAAGGUUGCUGUUCAUGCCGAUAGUGUCUUAAUGCACUAAUUUUUCGUUCAUAUUAAGAUGCAAAAAAUGCUACCGUUACCUGACUGGUUUCUUUUUAUGUUCUUCUGUUAUUUCAGCAAGGAUACUGUGGGACAGUAUGAAUCUCACACUGCCUUCACUCUUCCUGGGCUCUACCGCGUCGUGCAUGGGAUUGAUGUCUUUGAUCCAAAAUUCAAUAUCGUAUCCCCUGGAGCUGACAUGUCCAUCUACUUCCCGGCCACAGAGCAGCACAAGAGGCUCACCUCCCUCCAUCCAGAGAUCGAGGAGUUGCUUUACAGUUCUGUCGAGAAUUCUGACCACAAGUGAGAGCGUGUCUGCAUUACCUGCAUGUCUUUCCGUAUGUUAUUGUUCAAUUUAGUUAUUGACUCUUGAGGUUCUUGCAGGUUUGUUUUGAAGGACAGAAACAAACCCGUUAUAUUCUCCAUGGCAAGGCUGGACCGAGUGAAGAACAUUACCGGUCUAGUUGAGUUGUACGGCAGGAAUCCUCGUCUGAGGGAAUUGGUUAACCUUGUAGUGGUGGCUGGAGACCAUGGAAAAGAAUCCAAAGAUCUUGAAGAGCAAGCAGAGAUGAAGAAGAUGUACAGUCUCAUCGAACAGUACAAAUUGGCUGGUCACAUCCGAUGGAUCUCUGCUCAGAUGAACCGUGUUCGCAAUGGUGAGCUCUAUCGGUACAUUUGUGAUACCAAGGGAGCUUUCGUGCAGGUAUUCUUCAUCUUCUUAAAAGUAAAAAAAGAACAUGAUUGAUUUGUUCGCAUUUGAUAUAAUAUUUCUCACUCUUUCUCUGUUUUCUUUUGUUUAGCCCGCCUUCUAUGAAGCUUUUGGGCUCACUGUUGUUGAAUCCAUGACAUGUGGACUGCCCACAUUUGCGACUUGCUAUGGAGGGCCUGCCGAGAUCAUAGUGCAUGGGGUGUCUGGCUUCCACAUUGAUCCUUAUCAGGGGGACAAAGCAUCUGAACUGCUCGUAGAUUUCUUCGAGAAGUGCAAGGAAGACCCGAACCACUGGAACAAAAUCUCGCUAGGAGGGUUGCAGCGUAUUGAAGAGAAGUAAACAUGAUAUUUUCUUCGAACAACACUCUUUCAUGAAUUGAAGGAGCUUGUAUGGAAGAUUCAAGACUUAAAAUCUUUUUAUUUUGUGCUCUUCUUGGAAUUAAUGCAGGUACACUUGGAAGCUCUAUUCCGAGAGGUUGAUGACCUUAUCCGGUGUUUAUGGCUUCUGGAAGUACGUCUCAAACCUGGAUAGGCGUGAGACCCGUCGUUACCUCGAGAUGUUCUAUGCCCUCAAGUACCGUAACUUGGUAAGUCAGAUUCAUUGAUGGGUCUACUUGUUGCUUGAGAGACCUGAUGCGUUUCCUUCUCACCGCUGGUCUGCUUUGUUUCAAUGUCUAAUUUCAGGCAAAGUCUGUUCCUCUGCAUGUUGAUGGAGAUAUUGCAGCCAAUGGCACUAAGUAGUCUGGAUGGGAGGCAAGCACGAGUUCUGUUGUCAGCUUUUUUUGAUUUAAGAGAUUUAGGAGUAACUUUGCUUUCUGAGUUCUUGUUUGCGCCAUUGUUGCUUAGAGCUGAUUUUGGAGCAAUUUGAGAGUGUUUGCUGUUGCUUUUUAAUUUCCAUGUUAUGUAAGGCUUAACUGCCUUUUGUUAUUUAAUAAAAUAAGUAAUAUUUUCUUUCUCAAAAAUUUGAAAAAUUGGAUAAAAAAGUAUGCUACUCAACUUUUGAUGCAUCAUGAGUAUUGUGCAUGGUGACAAGAAUUUCUAGUCUCUGUACAAUUGGGACAACAUUUUGUGAUGCUUGGUUCAUGUCCAAGUUAUGUCGUUUCCGAUUGAUUAGCUGGUGGAAGGUUUGCAGUGGUGUAGGUUGCAUCGUACCUUAGAGAGAAAUGGAGUAUGCAAAAAAAAUUACCAGUUUCUAGAGGUACUCUAGGGAAGUGAAAGGCCAUCUUUUCUUUUUACUAGAUGUUAGAAUCUUCUGGGGUAUUGCCUGUUGGAUUUUGUCUGCAAUAUUUUGCAAUUAGCCAUGCGCGCCCCACCUCGCCCCGCUGGAAAAAAAAAAGAGAAUCUUUCUUGCUUUUAAGAAAGUUGCUCCACCGUUCAACUUCCUCUGUGAUUUGUCUUGCUUGACUUCAUUGGCAUCAAAGCAUAGUAUCUUUUCUCCUUUUCUUUUCCCUCCCAAUUCUGUAAAGACUGCUUAAAUAUCAUAUCUCAUGGACACAAAGUUUAGAAUGCUUUUGGGAAAUAGAUGAGAAAAUUGUGCAGUAAGUGUUGCUUUUGCACUUGGGUCAAACGUCUACAACGCCUGAACUGAUCACGUUGGUGGCACCAAGUGCAUUUUUUCUUUCUGAAAAUUCUUUUCAAGUUUCUGUAAAUAAUUAGGAGUAAACUGAUUCUUCUCUUUAUAUGUUUCCUUGGCAUGGUGUAAAACAAAGCUGCCUGUUAUGGUAAACUAGUUUGUUCUGUUCUCUAUUAUAUAGAUUUCCUUAUGAGAGUUUUUGGCGAUACUUCCAUGUUUAACUUGAUUCAGUCCAUUGUAGGUUGGGUUGGAUUGCCAGUUUAAUAAAAUGGUGAGAUUUGUGUCCAAAUAUUUGACCCAUUUAAUAGACAAGUCAGGUUCGGAAUAACAAAUUUUUGAUCUAACCUGUAUCUGACCUGACCCAUAUCUCGCCCGACCCGAUCCAGUUAUCACCUAAAAUAUCCAUCAUAACUCAGGACGUCAUCCAAAAAGGCUAGUCAUAAUAUAUUAUUUGGAUUUUUUAGUUCUGUAUAAGUAUUCAAGAUCUAUCCAGAUGUAGGACUAAACACAUGUCCACACAAAUUCGCACAUAUUCUUCUGGUUCAAGUCCUGGCGUCCUUCUCAAUUAACAGUCUAAAUUAAUUCAAUUCUAAUCACAAGCACCACAAUACAAUAUAGAUAUGUGCUGCAGUUUCUUCUAGUCUACAUAGGCUAUGGCCAGGAUUUACUCUGAUACCAUUUGUCAUAACUCAUGACCUUACUUAAAAAGCUAGCCAGUAUAUUAUUCGAAUUUUUUGGUCCUGUUUAAGUACCAAAGAUCUACCUAGUGCAUAGCCGAUUUGGGACUAAACACAUGCCCCUCACAAUAUCAGUCUUUCUUUUAUCUGAGGUUACUGUUCUCGGCUUUCCUACAUGACCACCCUUUUCUCAUUAGAUAAGCAUACAAUCUCUCUGAUUUUCUCUAUUAUCCUAUGGAGAAAAUAGUUUAAAGAACUUCAGUUUUGUUUUUUAUGUCCUUGAAUCCUUUUCCAAUAGCUUCGAAGACUCCAGAGAACUUUAGCUUUUAGUCUGGAAGCAUUCACUUCCCUGCCUAAUGUAUCAUAACCAUUUAGCGUUGGAGAAAGAGCUCUGUGUUCAGAAAAGUCGACACCUGCCACCCCCUUUUUCCCCACCGACUGGUUUUUUCUGUAACCAACUUCUCAGUAUUGAUAUUGACUCAGAAAAACGUUACCUCUUAGAAAUUAAUGAGUAACGCACAUAUUGAUGGUUGUUUUAAGUUUCAGUUCUUUUCAACUGAUGCACUGUCGCUUGUCAGUUCUAGCAGAGAAGAAACUAAAAAAAAUGUUGUUAACAAAUUUGUAGUUCCCUUGAUUGUAUCUCUAUAUAUAGGUACUCUUCUCAGUUUUGACUGUCACACUCUCAUCCACCUCUAUUCUCUAAGAUCUGCAACUUCUCUGCUUGUAGGAUCUUAAGCUCUAGGUGAGCAGACUCUGAAGUUUUUUCUCUGAAAAUUUUCCUUUUAAUUUGUUUAAAUCCUUGGCUUUGUUUGAUUCUUGAUUAUUUUGGGUUGCUCUUAUCUAAUUCCUAAGAUAAUCAUCUAAUUUACAGAAGUCGUCUUUUAUCUGUUUAUCAUCUAUUAUCUGAUUAUUUAUUUGCAUGGAUAAUGGUCAAAUUUUAAAUUUGCUGUGUUUGAUGCUUUCACGUCAAAAAUCUAGUGCAAGGGGCGUGUGAUUCAGGAGAGAGUUUUGGGUGAUUUUUUGCAUGGUAAAUUUCAUUCAGUGGUUUCUAAAAUGUUCAGUUGCUCUCUUCUUUUUUGUUUUCAUUGAAGUCUGAGGCUUUUUGAGGCUUGAAGGAGGAAAGAAGAGAAGCCAUGGCCAACUUUGCAUUGAAUCAAAUCUACAGUGUUCGGGAGCUCCUUGGUGAUUCUCUUUCUGCCCAUCCAAAUGAACUGGUUGCCCUUUUCUCAAGGUUUUGACUCUGUUUCUGUAAUGUAACUCUUGUGAAAAUUUUCAGAUAGAAACUGAUCCUUUAAUAACUUGUUUCAAGCUAUAUGGAUUAGAACUAGCCUUCUUUGAUUGGUACAUUGGUUGUUCUUGUUACGAUACCAAGCACCUUUGACUCAUAGUCCAGUUCUCUUUUUCCACAUGAAGAAUGCAAUUGAUCAUUUAUAGCCUGGACUGCCCUUCUCGUUUAGUUAUAACCUUCUUGAUUACUCAAUUUCAUCAAUAGGUUUUUUUUUUUUUCCACACAGGUUUUGUUGCACCAAGCACUGUAUGUGAUUUGAUUCAUAUAUCAUGAGCAUUGAUGACGAAAGAUAUCUUUUUUUUUUAUAUAAAUUUAUUCACAGGCUUGUUAGCCAGGGAAAGGGAGUGCUGCAAUCCCAUCAGUUGUUAGCUGAGUAUGAAGCUGUAAUACUUGAAGCAGAUAGAGAAAAGCUGAAGGAGGGGUUCUUUGAGGAUGUUCUACAACAUGCACAGGUUCUGUACAGUGAAGACCUGCGCCAUGUUAUGUUCUAACUUCCAAGUUGUUGAUAGUUCCAUGGUGCAUUGGUUUGUGAUACAGGAAGCAAUUGUGAUACCUCCGUGGGUUGCUCUUGCUAUUCGCCUGAGGCCUGGAGUCUGGGAGUAUGUACGGGUUAUUGUGAGUGAGCUUGCUGUGGAAGAGUUGAGUGUGCCAGAGUACUUGAAGUUCAAGGAAGAACUUGUGGAUGGAAGGUAGGUCAUAUUGUUCUAACAUUAUCAUGUUCCUUGUUCACUCUGUCACAUAUAGCCAAGUAGCCUCUCUCUCUCUCUCUCUCUCUAUACAUCUCUCGUAGGGUAAAGUUACUCUUUCCUUUUCUUCCUUUUCAGUACGACCNNNNNNNNNNNNNNNNNNNNUCCUCUCUCUCUCUCUCUCUCUAUACAUCUCUCUGGGAAAGUUACUCUUCCUUUUCUCCUUUUCAGUAGCCAAAGUAGCUUCACCCUGGAGUUGGACUUCGAACCCUUCAAUGCUUCUUUUCCUCGUCCCUCAUUGUUGAAAUCCAUCGGCAAUGGAGUGCAGUUCCUUAAUCGUCAUCUUUCCUCAAAGUUGUUCCAAGACAAAGAAAGCAUGUAUCCACUGCUGAAUUUCCUCAGGGCAUGUAACUAUAAAGGGAUGGUAAAUUUUUCACUAUAACUGCAUGAUUCAUUCAUCUAUGAUAUCUUAUUUUCCUAAAAUAGAAUGAACAAAUCUCUCCUCUUUGAUUUUUUUAAAUUUUUUAAAAAUUUUAAAAUAGAAUGACAUAAUCUUCCUCUUUUAGCAGUUCUUUUGUCCUUAUAACACUUUGGAACCAAAAUGAAAAGACAUGCAAUAUGAUGUGUGAGUGGUGAAGUAACAUGGCGACAUUACUCAUAACAAUGCAUAUUUAAUGGGAUCAGGAUAUCAAGAAUCUCAUCCAAUCCAAAACUAUUUAGGCAAAUCAACUGGAAAAGAAACAAAUCCACAUAUAGACGACAGUUAUUUAUUUCCAGGAAGUAUUAGGUGAAAUUGCCAUAAAUAGAUAGUUUGCAUUUCCAAUCAAAGAUAAUCAUGGUGUUAAUAUGUUAGUGAUAGGUCAAAUGUUAGCAAACCUUUUUAUCAAUAAACAGGAGCAAAUCAGCACUUCAGUUUCCUGUUUACCACUUUCUUUCUAAGACUAUGUUAUAUAAGUUGUUAGAGUUGUUAAUACUUCAGUUUAUUUCUGACUAGUAGUAAUGUUAUUCUUGUUAUGUUAUGCAGUCGAUGAUGCUGAAUGAUAGAAUUGGCAGCCUCAGUGCUCUCCAAGUUGCACUAAGGAAGGCAGAGGAAUAUCUGUUGAGUGUCCCUUCGGAAACUCCAUCCUCAGAAUUCAACCACAGGUAAAUUCUGUGGUGUCGAUUUCGGAGUUAUUGAUGAAACUGAUGUCAGCCAAAGAUUUCUUAUACAGCACAAAGUUUGUUAAGUUGUUCAACUGCUUACAUUGUUUCCCACUUGUAUGAUGUUAGAUUUCAAGAGCUUGGCUUAGACCAGGGCUGGGGUGACACAGCUCAGCGUUGUCAUGACACUAUUCAUCUCCUCCUAGAUCUUCUGGAGGCACCUGAUCCAUGUACCUUGGAAAACUUCCUUGCUAUGGUUCCUAUGGUGUUUAAUGUUGUCAUUCUUUCUCCUCAUGGCUACUUUGCCCAAGCUAAUGUUUUGGGGUAUCCUGACACAGGUGGCCAGGUAUAAUUCUAAAAUAAAAUUGUUUUAGAAACAUAUUACAGGAUUCACAGCUCACUUCUUUGACAUACUAUUCUGUAAAUUUGCAUUUGCAGAUUGUUUAUAUUUUGGAUCAAGUUCGUGCUUUGGAGAAUGAGAUGCUACAAAGAAUACAAACGCAAGGUCUUGAUAUUGUACCUCGCAUUCUCAUUGUAAGUUCAAUUUGAUGUCUCAUGGUUUUCAUAUACUGUUAAUUGGUUAUUUGUAGUCUAUAGAAAUUAUGAAGAAUAUCAUGGUGUCAAUUUAGUUGCAAACUUGCAAUAUGAAAGUCUCCACAUUUGUAAUGGUCUUCUCCUGAGACUAUCCUGUGAUCUAAUGCAGGUGACCAGACUGCUACCUGAUGCAGUAGGCACCACUUGUGGUCAGCGUCUUGAGAAGGUCCUUGGGACGGAGCACACUUUCAUCCUUCGUGUUCCAUUUAGAACGGAAAAUGGAAUUAUCCGAAAAUGGAUCUCACGUUUUGAAGUAUGGCCUUACCUGGAGACCUAUGCUGAGGUACAUCUUUCAUUAAGCUUCCUCUCUGCACUUGCUUCCCAUUCAAUACCUUUAUGAAAGAAAAUUUAUAUCGUUUUCCUUUGCGCUGUAGGAUGUUGCACAUGAACUAACAGGAGAAUUGCAAGCCAAGCCAGACCUGAUAAUUGGAAACUACAGUGAUGGAAACCUAGUAGCUUCUUUAUUGGCGCAUAAACUGGGAGUUACUCAGGUUUUGAUACUAGAACAUCGUUGACCCUUGGCUCUACUUAAUAGUGGUUAUUUUUUCAUCUGAAUUUAAUAACCUUUGUUCUUCCACAUGCAGUGCACCAUCGCCCAUGCCCUGGAGAAAACAAAGUAUCCAAAUUCAGAUAUAUACUGGAAGAAGUUUGAGAACCAGUAUCACUUCUCUUGCCAGUUCACAGCUGAUUUAAUUGCAAUGAACCAUGCGGACUUCAUCAUCACGAGUACCUUCCAAGAGAUUGCUGGAAGGUUACUGUUCAUGCCAUUAGUGUUUUAAUGCACUAAUUUUUCGUUCAUAUUAAGAUGAAAAAAAUACUGCUGUGACCCGACUGGUUUCUUUUUAUGUUCUUCUGUUAUUUCAGCAAGGAUACUGUGGGACAGUAUGAAUCUCACACUGCCUUCACUCUUCCUGGGCUCUACCGUGUCGUGCAUGGGAUUGAUGUCUUUGAUCCAAAAUUCAAUAUUGUAUCCCCUGGAGCUGACAUGUCCAUCUACUUCCCGUCCACAGAGCAGUACAAAAGGCUCACCUCCCUCCAUCCAGAGAUCGAGGAGUUGCUUUACAGUUCUGUCGAGAAUUCUGACCACAAGUGAGAGCGUGUCUGCAUUACCUGCAUGUCUUUCCAUAUGUUAUUGUUCAAUUCAGUUAUUGACUCUGAGGUUCUUGCAGGUUUGUUUUGAAGGA
rnacentral:lncRNA from 1 species